rnacentral:lncRNA from 1 species
ACUGGACUAUCUUGAACUUCAGCCUGACCUGUCACCCCUUGUUCGCGGAGCUCAUACUUUUAGGUGCCCGAGACUUGGAAUAACUAGUUGGUCUAGGCUGCCGAUCUAUGAUGCUGAUUUCGGUUGGGGUCGACCUAUUUUCAUGGGGCCUGGUGGAAUGGGAUAUGAGGGGUUGGCUUUUGUGUUACCAAGUGCAACAAAUGAUGGAAGUUUAUCGGUGGCCAUUUCUCUGCAAUCUCAACAUAUGCAAUCAUUCUCCAAGUUGUUGUAUGAGAUAUAAGGACAUGAAAUGCGUCGAAUGGGGGCAAUACGUUGAACAGACUUCGGGCUUCUGUGUGUGUCCUCUGAGUUCUGGGACUUUUCAUUGACUCUAGCCUAGCUGAUCGGAAAGCAGCUGUUUUUGAAAAGUUCAAGUGGUCUUUUGGUUAAUCUAUAUUAGAGUAUCUGUUUUAGAAACAACCUAGUACUGAAUAAGAUUGUCAGAGUAUCUGUGAGCUUUGUUUAUUGCUGUGGAGGACUUCUUUUUCGGAGUAUCUGUAGUUUACUGUGAUUGUUAAUAAGGUUUUCUUUCUCCAUGAAACAAAAACAUACUGAAUCACUUUGGUUGCAUAAAGAUUGGUGCCUUUGGUGAAGCUACACUUUGGUUAUACUUUCAGAAAUUUUGGUUUAAUGCAAGAGCAUUUGUAGUGUUUUUAUUUCUCACUGAAAAAGGAUCAAGAGGUUCUUCUUCUGGAGACUUCAGUGUCAAGUCUGCCCCUUUGCUGAAUUUUCCCAAAUGAGAAUUCCCAGCUGUUCCUUCAUAUGGAAAUCCAAAUUGCCUCCUAAAGACAAAUGCUUUCUUCUUCAAAUAAGUAACCAAGGAACGAAGACUUAAAGAGGCGUAUGGUUUCUGAGUAGUCUAGAAGGAGAUCUUGUUACCCCCAACAACUUCAAUACUCUCAGUUUGAAUGCUGCUAUGACUGGGUUGAAGCCUCUUAGGCAUGACCCUCCUUCUCAGUUGGGUAUAUCCCCUGGAAUUUAGGCAGUUUUUCUAUGGCUUGCUGGAUGUUAUGGAGGAGGAGAUGCUGUAGGGCCUUUGGAAGGGAAUUUCAGUUGAGGCGUUUUUGUUCACCCAUUCUCAACCCUGGGACUCAGUUCAGCUACCCUUUCUGCGUUUCCUUUGUUUGGCUUUUUAUGAAGUCCAUGUAUGAGGACCAGUCCACUGAUUUUGGAGACACGGGGCAGAAAUAAAAGUUGACGCCUUUUAUAUUCAACACCCACUUCAUUUUGAACAAAAAUAAAAAUAAAAAAUUCCAUAUUUAUGUGCUAAGUUGGUUAGUUUAAGUAAAAGAUGGCCACUAUGUGAAAAAUAAAGAGAAGUGCCUAAAUCUUUUCAAAAUAAAGCUCAAAAAGCAUUCAUUAGAUGUAUAAAGAGACUUUUUUACUACUAUAAUUCUUGGCCUAAAAUGUUUUAUAGGAAUUCCAUUUUUUAAGGGGCCUUGUGCUGUCGGCCGUCCUGCACACCUUGCGGGUGGGGGCAUGCCAUGUAUUAUUCCAAACUCGUCAUUUUCGUUACUUUUUCCUACAAUUCGAUCAAUGUCAUUCCUAUCCUCUUAUGUUAUACGUAAAUAUAUGUAUAUUUUAACGUUCAAUGGUUAGAUUACCGUCAUUUUACGUCAAUUUCGUCAAUUAUAUUAAAGCCAACUCGUCUAAAGUUCUACUAUCAAAUGACGGAUAUUUACAAUUGUUUGAUUUUGAAAAUUACCGUCAUCCAUAUAACUGACAACAACUAUUGAGCCUCAUCUAUACACAAGGACUAUAGCCUAGCGCGACUUUGGGCCUAAAUGCUUUUGUUUUAGAAUCUCUAAGCCACGCCCUCUCCUUUAGUCACACGCUUUACACAAAAUUUGGUACGAAAAUACCAAAAAAAUAGAGAUAGCUUAAUUGAAAUUGGUUUAUUCAUGGAAUUCAUAUAUCAUAAAAAACAAAAACAAAAAGAAUAAUAAAUAAAACAAAUCAAAAUAUUAGCGUGCAAUAUUCUGGCAAAGAAACAAUGGAAACUCCAGUUCUGAACUUCACCAAUUCCAUCAAUCCCAUGACCUCCAUUACUCGACCCUUGCCCUCUUUCGGUAAUUUUCUUCUGCCCCAGCUCUCUAUAUUAUAUAGCAUUAAAUAUGGUGAUUCUCCGCAUCUUCAAAUUAAAGGUAGUGAUUAUAAUAUCUCUCUAAUUAAAAAUAAUUUUUAUUAGAAAUCAUCCACUUUUUAACUGUCUUAAUUUUAGUCCUCAAACUUUCAAAUUAAUAAAUAUGACCUCCAAAAUUUUGGUUCACACAUAAGUUUGGUCCGUAUCAUAUUUUGGAGAUGUGCAGGCAACGCAAGUGACCUCCCCACUACAAAAAAAAAGUGGCAACAAUUAUCAUUAUUUGGUGACAUUUGCUGGGGUGACUAAAGUUUUAGCCAUCCCAGCAAAUGUCACCAUAUAAUGGUGAUUGUUGUCACUUUUUUUUUGUAAUGUCCCCUUAAUCACCAAACUAGUUAUUGCCACUAAUGGAAGGUCAAGACUGCAACCCCCACUCCUUCCUAGUUACUUUGGCAAUGCGAUUUUCACAACAACGCCAAUUGCUGUCGCAGGGGAUUUCCAAUCAAAAUGAACAUGGUACGGAGCAAGCCACAUUCAUGAUGUUUUGGUUCAUAUGGAUGAUCAAGGUUUUAAAACGCAAGGUGUUGAGGCGAGAUGCUUUUGAUCUCGCAAGGUGAAGUGUAACCCUUUCAAACAUUAAUUAUUUUAAUUAAAAAUAUAAAAUUAUAUAAAAUAAUUAUAAACGGGUACUAAUUGUCUCCUAAGUAGAAUAAUCAAGUAUUCUAGGAGGACAAUUUAGGGUACUGCAGAUAUGAUUUCUGGUUCAACAAUUCUGUAGAUAUGAUUUCUGGUUCAACAAUUCUACUGCGUGGGAAGGGCAUAAACAGUUGCAGGAUAUUUACCCUAAAUCUCACAGAGUCUUAAAAAUAGGCUAAAGACUGUUAAAUUGCGAGCAUGCCACUAUUAGCAGUGUAAAACCCUAAUAGAUCUUAAUGAAUUAAAAUAACUUAUGCACCAAGAAACCUGACUUCCAAUCAAACAAUUGUGCUUGGAAUAGAGAACUGGUUCAAUAUGGAUUUUUUCUAUGCCUCAAGAUAAACGAGGACUUUAUUAUUUCUCUAAUACAAAGCUAAGAGAUAAAAAACAUAAACAAGUAAACAAUGUGUCAAAUCGAUCAUAUCUGGUGAGAACUAAGACUGCCAUUACCUUUGAGUUGCCUCAUAGCCACUAGAACGAGAGUAUUUUUGUUCACCACUUUAACCCAAGUUGUACCAUUAUCACCCUUCUCAACACUUGACACGUAUCUGUGGGCAUAACUAUGGUUAUGCACAUGGACAGUGGCAAAGCCAUGAAUCUUACCACAAGGGGUCUUAGUGUAAAAGUCCAAAUAAAAAUUUAGGAUGGAAAAACAUAUUGAAAAUGAAAUCAUAGUAUUUUCAUUCAUAAUUCAUAACGGAAACAAUAUUACAAGCUAUAAUUGUCCAUGACGAGGUUUCAUAUUUUGAAAACGAAGCAUUAUAGCUUCAUUUUCAAUACAAGCAAAAAUAUCUCUCUCAAUAUAAACAAGCAAGCUAUCACUCAACCAUUGAUCUCCCAUUUUGUUCCUAAGUGGACCCUUAACAAUAUUCAUGAUAGAAAAUGCUCUCUUCACUGAAGCAGUUGCAACCGGUAAAACUAAAGACAAUGUAAUGAGCAAAUACACAUAAUUGAAUACUUGAUGCAUCCUUGUUUCCACCAUUUUUUUUUUUGCAAGAUCACCAAUCCCUUCCAGUUGAGAAAAGUCACUACUAGAACGCACAUAAUGGAUAUAAAUCUCAAGUUGAUCUUCAAGUGCCAAACGAUCCUCAUCCGAAAAGUCUUAAGGAUAAAAUUGAGCAAGACGAAGUAACUUUGAUUUAUCAAAAGCUAUAAAUGAAUCUUUCGGACUCAAACAUGCCAAACAAAUUAGCAAUUCGGUAUUUACCUCAUUAAAGCGAUCCUCUAACUCCGUAAUUUUUUCAUCAAUGACAUAAAUAAAGAGCUUCACACGAUAAUGAUGACGAUUUGUCUUUAUUGGAGCAUUACGCCUUGACCUCCCUGGAAGUAUAAAUGCCUCUUCCAUGUUAGGAACAUAAAUAUGAUGUUUUUCACAAAAAGAAAAUAUUUCAUUAACCAAUGUAUCGAACCCAUUAUUCCUCAUCUAAUGUAGCUUUUCCUUGCAUGAUUUCACUAAAGUCAUUGCAUUCACAAUUUCUUGAUCUUUCCUUUGCAAUGCUUGUGACAAAUCAUUUGUGAGUCCCAAUAUGGCUUUCAUCAAGAAAAGGUGAAACACAAACUCAAAAAUACGUAUUUCUCUCAUUAACUUAUUUGCUUCACCCGCAUUUUCAUUGGGAUUAUCAUCAAUAACCAUUUGAAGCACAUGAACCACUGAUGAAAACAUAGAAAUGAUGCUAAUCAAGGUACCAUAGUAUGAGUUUCAUCAUGUGUCACCGGCAUGUUUGAGACUUGUUUCUUGAUUUAAGUCUCGCCCCGUUAUAAGACAAUCAUGUUCAAAAGCUAUCACAAGCUCUUCAUAAAGUUGCCCUCUAAGUAAAUCACGCCGCUUACAAGAUGCUCCAACAUGAUUAACCACACUAUUAGUAGUUGCAAAAAAAGAGGCAAAUGUCUAUAUUUUUCUUUGCUACGGCAACAAGAGCUAGUUGAAGUUGAUGAGCAAAGCAAUGAACAUAAUAUACACAAGGUUGUUCUCUCAAUAUCUUUGUUUUAAGGCCAUUCAACUCACCUCUCAUAUUGCUAGCAUCAUCAUAACCUUGUCCUCGUAGCUUGGAAAGGCACAAAUCGUUGCGAGAAAAAAAUGUGUCAAUAGCAUCCUUUAGUGAACUUGAAGUAGUGUCAGUAACAUGUUGGAUACCCACAAAUCUUUCAAUUACAUGCCCUUUGUUAUCCAUAUAACGCAAUACCAUAGUCAUUUGCUCUUUCACCGACACAUCACGUGCUUCAUCCAUCAAUAUUGAAAAGAAUUUAUCUUUUAGACCAUCCAUGAUAGCAUCAAGUGUUUCAAGGGCAUAUGAAUUCACAAUUUCUUUUUGAAUGCAAGGAGCUAGUAAUUUGAGAUUCCCAGGAGCAUUUUCCAUCACAACUUCUCUAACUUUAUCAUCAUUAUCUGCAAGGAAUUGCAAUAGCUCCAAGUAAUUUCCCAUAUUGCUUGAAGUGGCACUUUCAUCAUGGCCACGAAAAGCAAGACCUUGUCGCAAUAAAAACUUAGUGCACUUGAUUGAUGCAUUCAAGCAUGUGCGAUAAGCCUUACGAGCUUGGUCGGAGUGUUUGCUCACUGCCGUUUCAAUAUGUGUAUUUCGAUUCAUCAAAUUUGUAGCAGCUUCUCUAGCCUUAUUAUGAACACUCCCAACCGGUCCAACAUGCAUCUUAAAUCUUCCUCUCCCUUUCUUCCAAUUCUUAAAUCCAUCUUCAGUGAAAGCUUCACUACCCACUUGUUCAAAAUUGGUUUAAAGAGAUAGCAAUAGAGACAAUAUGCCGCAUCUGUAGAUAUACUAUACUCCAACCAAUCAAACUCAUCAAACCAUUGGGGAAUGAAACGUUGAUUAAUUCCUGACAUAUUAGUUAUUGGGAAAUUAUGACCUCUAGGUUGACAAGGUCUUUUUUGUAGAUAUGAUCUUCGGACCUCAUCUCUCAUAUUAGCAUCAUAAUCUAUCAUUCGAGUUCUUAAUCCAGGGUCCGCUUGAAGAUUACCUAAAACACCAUAUAACUGACUUUGUCUUGAACUUGGAGUUCUUGAACUACCAACAUUAUUUGAACUAUCAACAUUAUCCGAACUACACGAACCUGAUCAUGAUUUUCUCUUAAAAAACCGUUCCAUAAUAUUCUACAUAUACAAAACAAUCAAAAUAAAUACUCACAAUAUAAACAAACCAUCAACAUAAUCAAAAUACAUAUGAAUUGGAUUUCAAUUAAAUUAAAUAUAUUCUACAUAUACAAAAUAAUGAAAAUAUAAACUCACAAUAUAAACAAACCAUCAAUAUAAUCAAAAUAAAUAUGAAUUGAAUUUCAAUUAAAUUAAAUAUAUUCUACAUAUACAAAAUAAUGAAAAUAAAAAAUUAUAAUAUAAUCAAACCACCAAUAUAAUCAAAAUAAAUAUGAAUUAGGUUUCAAUUAAAUUAAAUAUAUCAUACAUAGUAACAUAGGAUUUAAAACUUACUUGAAUUGUGAAAUUUCACAAUAACAAUGAGCAAAUACAAAGAGAGUAGCUAGCGGCACCACCACAACGACGACGACGGUAGCACAAAGGCACCUCAAUUGUGGCAGCCAGGGAGGGGAUUGAGUUGAAGGUUUUGGGGGGGUUGGUGUGGGGUGGGAAUUGAGUUGGGAACUUAGGGUUGGAGGAGGAGAAAACAAAAGAAAAUUGGGAGUUUUGGAAUGGAGGAAUUGGGUUUGUGGAAAAGCAAUGGCUGGAGGAUACGUUGGUCAUUAUUUUUUUUUUUCAGACCUGGCUCAAAACGACGUCGUUUUUGCCAGGUUAUUUACAAAAAAUUCACUGUGCCAAAACAACGUAGUUUUGGCCAGGUCAUUUAAAAAAAUUCCCUGAGCCAAAAGGACUUUCCUGAGCCAAAACUACGUCGUUUUGCCCAGGUUGUUUAAAAAAAAAAACUCGCACGCCAGUCAGCCUUCUUCUUUUUCAGCCUGCGAACCUUCCUUCUUCUUUCAGACAUUUCGUCGACCACUUGGUGUGCAGCUCCAAGAGGUCGCACCAGCAGCUCCAAGGGACCUCUAAGCCUAUUUCCAUGGCUUCCAAGAGGUCGUGCGACCCCAUUGACCCCACUGUGGCUCCGCCUCUGCACAUGGACACUUGUCAAGUGUUGAGAACUAUGUGUAUCUUUUUAUGUUUAUUAAUAAAAUUCACUCGUAUCAUAGAGUUUAAUAUAUAAAUUUUGCCCAAUCGACUUUCAAAUUCUAGAACCGCCACUAGGGUGUAGUGUGCAGUUCGAACAUUGAGGCGGUCAUAGGUUUUGAGAAGGAUAGGCCACUGAGAGGUGUCCAUGGAAGGAGUCGGGGUUAAUGAAGUCUUUGUCCAAAUCAUUGUCUUUAUGUCUAUGCUUUUUCUUCUUUUUCUUCUUUAUAUCUGCCCUUUUCGCCACGGCCUUCACUGGGGUUCGAUCAUCAUCAGAAGCCAUUUCCUGCACAUUAGACAGAACAAAAAUGAAAAAAAAAAAAAGAAAAAAAAGAACACUAGAACAGCAGGUAAAACCCAACAUCAAAUACAAAUUUUAUUCUGGGCAAAAUUUAAGAGAAAAUAAUCGCUCUGAUUUUUCCAUUGUCAAACAAAAAAAACACUUAAUUAAUCAUUACCCAUAAUAGAGUUAUAUUAUAUGCUUGGGGAUGGUGGCUUUCCUAAACAAAGCAUUAUCAUUAAGUUCCCAGUAAAGAGAUUAACACAAAAUGGCAGGGGUUUUACAAAUAAACUAGUUUCAGGUGCAGUGACAUGUUAGGAACCCUUAUCAGCUUCUGAAGACAAAAGAAGAGACUUUCACAUACAAAUCACUUGGAAGUAUUCAUAACAGAAAACCCAAAAGAGGGCAAGUAGAAAAUCAAUACCUUUUACUUAAAAGCACCUAAUCGGAAUGGUUCGGCGGCGGCAGAGGUAGGGGUUUUAAGAAGAGAAAGAGAGAAGAGAAGAGGAGAGAGUGGCGGGAGUUAGGGUUAUGCAAUUAACCCUGCUAUUUUAUGUUUUAUUAAUUACAAUUUUGGAGAUUUCUCACCUGUUCUUUUCUGGGAUCAUCUAGGAUAGAAAAAACCAAAUGUAACAGAUCAGAACCAUGAACAAACAAACUUUUCUUUCUCUUUUUCAUGUCAGUUUCAGAGGAAACAAACAGAGAAUUGGAUAGAGAAAUACCAUGGUUGCGAAGUUGAGCUGACGACUAGAGGAAGAGACGGCAGCAAACGAAGAAGGUCGAGGUCUCUCUCGCACUCGUUACCGUCUCCCAUGGUUGGAAAUUCAGAUCUGACCGCAUUGAGUCCGAUUUGAGAGCUCGAAGAGAGAGAAGGCUUGGCUGCCGGUGAAGAUGGGGUUUCCGUCGGUUAGGUGGGUGGGUGGGUACCUAAGGAAGAGAAGCCAUGGUUUUUGGUGUGAGUUUCUGGGACUGAGCUUGCAAUAUCCCACAUUCAUCUUUUCCCAGCUCUGUAAAUUUUCCAUCUCCAGGUUGAAAUGCAAGCUUUCGCGGGUGGGAGGCAAAGAAACCCACUAUAGCAGGUUAUCCAGUUUUUGUGUGUGGUGAUUUUAGUGAUUUUUCUUCACAAAUUAUUUUGAGCCAUUAGAUCAAAACUUUUAAAUCCAACGGUUAAAAGCUUUGAUGUAUAAGUAUUGAUACACCAGAGCAUAUUAGAAUUUUCGCUAGAUGACAUCUGUGAAGAAGUCACUAUAGAAUAGGCCUCAUUAUUUGGUCUGUGGGCUCAUGGGUCGAUAGGGGCUUGUCCGGCCCAUCGAAAAAAAGCCCGGCCCGGCCCAUUAUGGGCUUUGAGAUGGCUUGGCCAGCCUUGGGCUGGGCUAGGCUUGGGCUUGGGUGUCUCAAGCCCAGCCCAACCUGAUUAAGCCCAAGAAAGCUCGGCCUGGCUCGUUAGGCCCACAUACAUAUAUAAUUAUGUAUAAAUAGGAGUUUAGGUUUAGGAUUAAAUCACAUAUAUAAUUUGUUUCAUUUCAUUUACUUUUCUUUACUCAUUCCUAGUUUAUAAUUGGAUGAUUAACACAUUAAUUUGUGUCAAUUAUUAAUUCAACAAUUAUAUAUAUAAAUAAGAUGAACAACAUAUCACAUCACCAAAUAUAAUCAUAUCAUGAAACAUAAUCGUACCACCAAAUAUAAUCAUGCUUUUCUUGAACACAUCACCAAAUAUUUGCAUAUUUAUUCAUACCAUCCUUUAAAAAAAAAAAUUUGAUACUUAUUAUUUUUUAAAACGUAUUACGGUCUAAUUAUGUAAUAACCUCAAAAAUAAUACUUUGUUUUAUUAUUUUUUUGGAAAAUCUUAUUAAGUUGUGUGACUUUAUUUGGUGUUUUAUGAAUUUGGUUUGAUGUGAAAAUAUUGGAAUUAAGUUAGUUUAAUUUUAAAUUUGGACUAAAAUGCCCUUAUGAUUAAGUUUAUAAUUUUUUUUUAAUGAAGUAUGCCCAUUUAGGCCUGACCAGUUGGGCUUAGCCUUGCCCGGCCCGAUGGGCUUUCUCAAGUUUGGCCCAUGGGUUGGGCUUGGACUUUGAAUUUUCUAAAAAAAUCCGGCUUGGCCAAGCCAUAUAUUUUCUCUCUUCUUUUUAAAACCCGGCCCUGCCCAGCCCAAGCCCAUUAAAUUUGGGCCGAGCUAUACGAGCCCUACUACAGAAUGUCUUGAUUUGACAGUUACGUGGGUCCCAUACUUUUCAUGCAAAUUGAUCAGGAAGGUGAGAGGGAAGGGCCAUGAUGUUUUUUGGUUUUCUUAAGCAAUAGUUCUUGAACUAUACUCGUAGUUAUAUUUUGGUCACUCAACUCCAAAAAUAGAUGCAAAGAUCCCAUAAUUAUGUAUGGUGUUACAUUAGUAGUCCCUUUCGUCAAGUCUGUUUAUUUUUUCGUUAAAUCUAUGGAUAAACUUGAAAAUUCAUUCCAAAUAUUUAUAAAAACGAAAUAACAAAAAAUAAAUAAAUAAAGGUUAUUUGUAGCAAUGGUCCCUCAACUAUAGUCAAAGUUAUAUUUUGGUCACUCAACUCUAAAAAAUAGUUACAAAGGUCACUCAAUUAGAUGUAGUGUUGCACCAUUAGUCCUUACCGUCAAGUCUCUUUAACAGUAAAAACUAAUAGUGCAACACAACACCUAAUUGAUGAGCUGUUUGGGCCCUUGGCUGAUUGUUUCAAGUGGACAUACUUUGGUUUUGAUUUGAAUGGCAGAAGUGGUAGCUUAAUCCUACAAGUGCAUUUAUUGACCGAAAGGCAAAGGAUGGGACCAAUAAAUGUCUACAUCUAACCCAAAUAAGCUAGGCCUGCCCUUUCUUUUUAUAAUGAAUUCUCCAUACCUGUUCUUCACAAAUAUAUAGUGCACUAUUAAAGUCGGUCGCUCAACUUCGAGUGGUAUAACUUAAAAAAUAAAUAAAUAAAUAAAUAAAAUCGAGUAAUAUAAAGUAGGAGCUGAGGAAUCUUUAGAAGAUGAUAUUGUGAUGGAAAAAGAAGGUGAUUUUGAGAACUUGAGAGGGCCUUGGAUGGUUGUUCAAAAUAGGAGAAAACCGAAAAGUUGGGUUAAGGAUAGAGGAAACAAGGGAGCUGGAGGUCCCAGCAUAGGCUGUCGGUUUGACACGUUAAGAAAAGUGAAUGAAGACUUUGAUAGAAAUGGAGGGUUUGAUACUGGCAAGACUAAUUAGUUUGGGCCCAACCAUGUUGGCACAUCUAAGAGCACCUCCACCGCCCCGUCCACAGCCCCUCGAAGCUCAGGUUAGGCCCUCCAGCGUGCAGCCUGAAGAUCGGGCAAGUCCUGGGGCCCACUAGUCUGGGCAAGUCCAAGGGCAAUUCUUGGUUGGGCUCCAGCCCAAAGUGGUUGACGUCAACGAAGUGAAAUUAGAUUAUUAUUUUCUUUUACCGUUGGCGCAUGAAAUUCAGAUUUUUUUUUUCUUCUAUCAAUUUUUUUAUUUAUUGGGAUUUUCUAUUUAGAAUUACUAACGUACUCUUUUAUUUAGUUCAGUUGUUGAGAAGCACGAUAAUGGGCACUAGAAUAUCAGCCAGCGAAUCAUAGGACACUAGCCAGAUCAACAACAAUAGCCCAAUUGAUCAAGAUAAUUCUUUUCAUUAGUAUAGAACUUUGUUUAUGAUCUUGCGCUCUUGAAAAUCAUGUUAGUAUGGCUUCCUUUAUUUUUGGUAUGCGUUCUGUUAAAUUAGGUAAAUUAUGUAUACUUGUAUGUUAAAUUUAUGUACUAAAAUUUUAGGAAUGGAAGAAUCUUCUGCAAGACUAGACAAUAAUCAACAUGAUGAUGCAGUUGAAAUGAAUUUUAAUGGGAUUGAAAAGGAAAAUAAUGGGGAUGAAACUGAAAAUAAUGACAUUGUAAUGAGUGUUGAAGAAAAAGUACAAGACCCUCGAGUUAGAAUGAUUUUUGACAGUGUUGAUGAGGUGAUCACAUAUUACAAACAAUAUGGGAGGCAAUCAUAGUUUCCAGUGAUAAGGAGAUCAUCAAGAACUGGAGAUGAUGGAAAUUUCAAAUAUGUUACUAUUCUUGUGCCCAAUAAGACAAAUCAAAAAGUAAGUCAAGUAAUCUUCUUAAAUCUCAUCCAAGUAUAAAGAAUGAUUGCAAGGCUCAGCUUAGGGCAGGUUUAUUGAACGUCUUUUUUGCAGUUUCUUUAUAUUUUAAAUAAAUUCAGAGACUCUUUGGAUUCUGCGUGUAGUUUUCACCAAAAUUUCAUACACGCGAUUAGAAAUGGUAUUUCCUUACUUGACUUAUAACCGGCCCAUUCCCAUCCCUAAAGAUCACCAAUUUCAUUUUCAAUUAUUUUUGUUUGUAAAACUUAAGAUACUAUAUCUCUAGUAAUUCCAACACAAGACAAGCCAAUUCAAAUGAUAAUUUCAUGGAGUGAAUCUCUUUAAAAUAAGUGGUGAAGUAUUACUUUUUAGGAAUAGUAAAUCAAAUAAAUAAGCAUAAGUUAUUGGUUCCAAGCAUAAGUUAUUGAUACUAUUCUCUAAAAAGAAGAAUAUCAAUCAUAUAUGUUUAUCUAUAUUAUAACACAAAAAUAAAUCAUACCACUUAACCGUAACAUUUUAUAAUUUCUUGAAAAGUCCAAACCUUUUAAAUGAGGUUUCGUGUGAUUUUGUCAGGCUGAGAGGUCCCAUCUAAUGGUAGAAUUUUCCCAUAAAGGAGAGGUCCGACUCCCAAUGGAGACCCAUCGACCAAAAACAGUAGAGUAAUCCCCGCAAAGAAGAAACAAUUAAUAUUCAAGUGAGUAUGCCACCUAAAUAAUAAUGAGGACAUCGUGGAACAGUUUCGAACCACGAUCUACUUUGUUUUCUUCUUAUAAUUGUGAAAUUGAUACCGUUGAUGCAUUGAGGACAGAGACAAUUCGACACUGACAAGGGUCUUUAUUUGAAAAUGCUCAGGGGGUGAGAAUGAAUACGAUAUCUACCUAUCACAUCACGUGAUAAAAAUCUAAUAAGUAUAAAAUUAUUCUUUUCAAUUAGAGGGUGAACUCUAUUAUAUUAAUUGACUCUACUUUGAUUAGAAAAAUAAUACAUAAUCUUAGAAGGGACGUUUAGACUUUGCUUUUUAAUUUUGUAUUUUUAUAGAGUUGACAUUGAGAGAGCAGAAUUAUGGUUUGAAAUGCUCUUAACUACUACUAUUUAACCACGUAAACUAUAAGCUAUAAACCAAUAAUUUUUCUAUGUUUGAGGCACAUAGUAUUUAUGUCUUAUGUUAUGUCACAUGUAUUGAAAAAUAUGUCUACAUGGGAUGGGACCCUGGUGUACCCGCACAUACACAAAUUUGUCCUUGCUCAGUCGCUACAUAUAUGGAUGUUAUUACAACGUCGGUAUACAGAGACGUGCUUUGCCUUCUUCACUGCAAAGAAGGUUAGAUAAAUAGUUUGGUUUGGAGGUGAGGUGAGGCCCAGCAAAAAGAUGGCGGUGGUCAACGUGAGCGUGAGGGAGUCAACGUUGGUGAAGCCGGCGGAGGAGACGCCGAGGCAGGUGCUGUGGAUGACCAACUUGGACCUUGUGAUUUUGGGCAACCACACGCCAAGCGUCUACUUCUACAGGCAGAACCAAAACAGUGUGCACGGUCAUCAUAACAACUUCUUCGACCCGCAGGUGCUCAAGCAGGCGCUAAGCAAGGCCCUCGUGCCCUUCUACCCGUUGGCGGGGCGCCUCGGGAUGGAAGGCAACGGCCGCGGCGAGAUCGACUGCAAUUCGGAGGGCGCGCUGUUUGUCGUGGCUGAGACGGGCUCAACCAUCGACGAUUUCGGCGACUUCGCGCCGACUCUCGAGUUCCGGAAGCUCAUCCCAGCCGUUGAUUAUUCGACAGGGAUAUCAACUUAUCCCCUCUUGGUGUUGCAGGUAUGUUUAAAAUCGCUAGUGUCGUUUCAUUACUUGAUCUUGACCGUAGAUUAAACGCUUCGGUCAACAUUUCACCCAGCUGACUUGGUUGAAUGAUAGUUGAUGAUGAAAUUUUAUUUAUUUGGUAAUUGAAAGGAUAACAAAAAACACAAAAAAAGAGGAAAGCAGAAGCAUCUGGUGGCACUGCCACACUUUAUCAUGAAAUGAUAUUUGUAUUUAUUGAUUAAUAUUUGAAUUAAUAAAAAAUAUUAACUAUGCCGACAGAGAGACUAUAUUACCUAAAGAGUGAUGCUAUUUCUCUAUUUUCUCACUCAUCUUAUUUUCCUAUUCAAUAUAUAAAUUUUAAUAAAUACAAUUAUAUUUUUUCACCCUCUAUUAUUCCUAGAAUACCUUUUACAAAAUUAAAUGAAAAAAAAGUUAAUCAAGCUCUCUUCUCCAAGUCACCCCCAACCUCUUGCUCUCCUCUGCCAUCACCACCAUCCCUCCAACCCAUCUGUAAAACCCAUAAAUUUGUUUUCUCCUAAUUGAAUUUUGCUUUAACAUUAUCUGCCCAAAUUAAUUCCCUAUUUAUUUACAUAAAUUUCAAAUGAAGCCUGCAUAAUAAUAACUCACCCAACAUCCCCUACACUGCGAUAUUCCAAUUUUUAUUUCUGUAGUUUCAAAAGAGCUCUUCCUGUUUUUAUGAUACUGCAACAGCAUAAAAAUUCCAGUACCACAUGUUUUGGCAAACUCGUGCAAAAUAACAAGCAGCUGGAAAAAAAAAAUACAAAUGUUUCAGAGAGUGAACCUUAUUUUACUUGCCUAGAUAAAACUGACCAAGAUUGAAUUAAAGAUGAACAUCAAAUGGUGUUGAUUAAGCAAACAGAGGAUGAAGAGUCCAAAAAAAUGAUAAAAGAAGCGUCACAAAUAGAAGAAUUUAUUUCAAUCCUUAGAAGUUAUUUUACAUAAGGAUAAAUUUGUCUUUAAAAUUUUGAGAAUAAGAUAGGGGGAAAAAUAGGACAUAAGGUGAAAAUAGCAGCAUUCUUCUUAAAAUAUGUAUUUCGGAAGAAUUAGAGCAUGUGCGACACUUUAAUAUCCAGGUAAUUAUGAUUAGAUGGAGUUUAACUGAAUAAAAACGAGUCUAUUGUGAUUAGAUGGGAUCUUCUUUUCCUCAAUAUCAACUGGCUGAUUUAUAUGCUGCUGUCAAGUCCAUUUACUUCAACUAUCUACUUUAGUACUUUUGGAAACUACUUUUCCUCACAGGCGAAAAGUUUUGUUGUUUACGUAUACAAGUUAAGCUGCCAAUCUUGAUUCCAAGCAUAAAUGUUUGUCCUGUUGUUUCACGUUGUAUCAGUUAAUAGAAUUUGGAGAACCACCGGCCAAAAACAGUAGAAUAAUCCCCGCAAAGAAAGGAACAAUUAAUAUAUACUAUAAAUGAUAAUGAAGACACGUGGAGCAGUUUGGGUGGAGACAUUGUUGGGCAGUUUCAAACCACAUACUAUUUUGUUUUCUUCUUAUAAUUAUGAAAACGAUACCCGUUGAUGCAUUGAGGGACAGAGACAAUUCGACAGUUGACGAGUGUUCUUUACUUUGUAGUUUGUAUGGAUUCUUCAAUACUUCGAGUCCAACCUGCAUUCGUCUGUCUACUUGUUGCCACUUAGAUGAGCUUAAUAGGGAGUUUUAAUUACAAUUAUGGUAGUUAAUAAAAUGUUUGAAAUAAAUUAUAAAUAAAAUAUGAAAUUUAGUGACAAUGAUGUAAAAACGUAGGAAUAUUAUGACUUCUUAUAUCAUACUGGUCAUUUAAAUUUGAAAUUGAAUUUUAUAUAUAGAUUUAUAGAAUGAUGAGUAUAUGUUUAGGAAAUAGAAAAUGUAGGGACUUAUAUUGGACAAGCCCUAAUUCUUUAAGCCAAGUUAUUGUCUUCCUGUUAUAUCUGAGUGGAUGCGUUUUCUUUUUGGUGGAUUAGAGAAUAGUUUUACCCCACUAUACAAUUCCAAGUGCUCACCCCUUCUUUUAUUUCUCUUGCUCAUAAUAUCAUCCUGGAUAUGACUUAAACUUACAAAGUAUGGUUCGGGUUUUACUCUGUUUAUGCAUCAGGUCACAUACUUCAAAUGUGGUGGAGUGUCACUUGGUGUUGGCCUGGAACAUCGUGUAGCAGAUGGCCUUUCUGGUCUCCACUUUGUAAAUACAUGGUCUGAUAUUGCUCGAGGUCUUGACCUGACAAUUCCACCAUUCAUUGACAGGACAUUACUUCGUGCCCGAUACCCACCACAGCCUGCAUUCGAUCACAUUGAAUACCAACCCGAUCCACCCAUUAAAACUGGUACAAAAGCUGUAGGUGAUGAGAGCGCAACGGUAUCCAUUUUUAGAUUGACAAGGGAGCAGCUCAACAUCUUGAAAGCCAAGUCUAAGGAAGAUGGGAACACAAUCAACUAUACCACAUAUGAGAUGUUGGCAGGCCAUGUUUGGAGAUGUGCAUCUGUGGCACGUGAACUUCCUGAUGAUCAAGAGACCAAACUACAUAUUGCAGUUGAUGGAAGGUCCAGACUGCAACCCCCACUCCCACCUGGUUUCUUUGGCAAUGUGGUUUUUGCAGGCGCACCAAUUGCUGCAGCAGGGGAUCUCAAAUCAAAACCAACAUGGUAUGCUGCAAGCUGUAUUCAUGAUACUGUUGUGCGUAUGGACAACGAUUAUCUUAGAUCAGCACUGGACUAUCUUGAACUUCAGCCUGACCUGUCACCCCUUGUUCGCGGAGCUCAUACUUUUAGGUGCCCGAGACUUGGAAUAACUAGUUGGUCUAGGCUGCCGAUCUAUGAUGCUGAUUUCGGUUGGGGUCGACCUAUUUUCAUGGGGCCUGGUGGAAUGGGAUAUGAGGGGUUGGCUUUUGUGUUACCAAGUGCAACAAAUGAUGGAAGUUUAUCGGUGGCCAUUUCUCUGCAAUCUCAACAUAUGCAAUCAUUCUCCAAGUUGUUGUAUGAGAUAUAAGGAAAUGAAAUGCGUCGAAUGGGGGCAAUACGUUGAACAGACUUCGGGCUUCUGUGUGUGUCCUCUGAGUUCUGGGACUUUGCAUUGACUCUAGCCUAGCUGAUCGGAAAGCAGCUGUUUUUGAAAAGUUCAAGUGGUCUUUUGGUUAAUCUAUAUUAGAGGAUCUGUUUUAGAAACAACCUAGUACUGAAUAAGAUUGUCAGAGUAUCUGUAAGCUUUGUUUAUUGCUGUGGAGGACUUCUUUUUCGGAGUAUCUGUAGUUUACUGUGAUUGUUAAUAAGGUUUUCUUUCUCCAUGAAACAAAAACAUACUGAAUCACUUUGGUUGCAUAAAGGUUGGUGCCUUUGGUAAAGCUACACUUUGGUUAUACUUUCAAAAAUUUUGGUUUAAUGCAAGAGCAUUUGUAGUGUUUUUAUUUCUCACUGAAAAUGGAUCAAGAGGUUCUUCUUCUGGAGACUUCAGUGUCAAGUCUGCCCAUUUGCUGAAUUUUCCCAAAUGAGAAUUCCCAGCUGUUCCUUCAUAUGGAAAUCCAAAUUGCCUCCUAAAGACAAAUGCUUUCUUCUUCAAAUAAGUAACCAAGGAACAAAGACUUAAAGAGGCGUAUGGUUUCUGAGUAGUCUAGAAGGAGAUCUUGUUACCCCCAACGACUUCAAUACUCUCAGUUUGAAUGCUGCUAUGACUGGGUUGAAGCCUCUUAGGCAUGACCCUCCUUCUCAGUUGGGUAUAUCCCCUGGAAUUUAGGCAGCUUUUCUGUGGCUUGCUGGAGGUUAUGGAGGAGGAGAUGCUGUAGGGCCUUUGGAAGGGAAUUUCAGUCGAGGGCGUUUUUGUUCACCCAUGCUGUAGGGCCUUUUAUGUUCAACACCCACUUCAUUUUGAACAAAAAUGAAAAUAAAAGAUUCCAUGUUUAUGUGCUAAGUUGGUUAGUUUAAGUAAAGAUGGCCACUAUGUGAAAAAUGAAAAGAAGGUUCUAAAUCUUUUCAAAAUAAAGCUCAAAAAGCGUCCGUUAGACAUAUAAAAGAACUUUUUUACUGCUAUAAUUCUUGGGCAAAAAUGUUUUAUAGGAAUCCCAUUUUUUAAGGGGCCUUGUGCUGUCGGCCGUCCAGCACACGGCAUGCCAUGUAUUAUAUCCAAACUCAUCAUUUUCGUUACUCUUUCUUAAAAUUCGAUCAAUGUCAUUCCUAUCCUCUUAUGCCAUACAUGAAUAUCUGUAUAUCUUUGAUGUUUAAUGGUUAGAUUACCGUCAUUUAACGUAAAUUUUGUCAAUUACAUUAAAGCCAACUCGUCUAAACUACUAUCAAAUUACUGAUAUUUACAAUUGUUUGAUUUUAAAAAUUACCGUCGUCCAUAUUUUUGACAACAACUAUUGAGCCUCAUCUAUACACAAGGGCUAUAGCCUAGUGCGACUUUGGGCCUAAAUCCUUUUGUUUUAGAAUCUCUAAGCCACGCCCUCCCCUUUAGUCACAUGUAAAAAAAGAAAAUAUUAGCGGACAAUAUUCUGACAAAGAAACAAUGGAAACUCUAGUUCUAAACUUCACCAAUUCCAUCAAUCCCAUGACCUUUGGUAAUUUUCUUCUGUCCCAACUCUCUGUAUUAUAUCAGAUUAAAUAUGGUGGUUCUCCUCAUCUUCAAAUUAAAGGUUGUGAUUAUAAUCUCUCUAAUUAAAAAUAAUUUUUAUUAGAAAUCAUCCACUUUUUAACUGUCUUAAUUUUAGUCCUCAAACUUUCAAAUUAAUAAAUAUGACCCUCAAAAUUUUGGGUCACACAUAAGUUUGGUCUAUAUCAUCGUUUGGAGAUGUGUAGGCAACGCAUGUGACCUCCCCACUACAAAAAAAAGUGGCAACAGUUAUCAUUAUUUGGUGAUAUUUGCUGGGGUGACUAAAACUUUAGCCACCCCAGCAAAUGUCACCAAAUAAUGCGAUUUUCAAGACUGCAACCCCCACUUCCUCCUAGUUACUUUGGCAAUACGAUUUUCACAACAAUGCCAAUUGCAAUCGCAGGGGAUUUCCAAUCAAAUUGAACAUGGAACGGAGCAAGCCACGUUCAUGAUGUUUUGGUUCAUAUGGAUGAUCAAGGUUUUAAAACGCAAGGUGUUGAGGCAAGAUGCUUUUGAUCCCGAAAGGUGAAGCGUAAUUCUUUUGAAUAUUAAUUAUUUUAAUUAAAAAUAUAAAAUAAUAUAAAAUAAUUAUAAAUGAGUACUAAUUGUCUCCUAAGCAUAAUAAUCAAGUAUUCUAGGAUGACAAUUUAGGGUACUGUAGAUAUGAUUUCGGGUUCAGUAAUUCUACUGGGUGGGAGUGGCAUAAACAGUUGCAGGGUAUUUACCCCAAAUCUCAGAGUCUUAAAAAUAGGCUAAGGAUUGUGAUAAAUUGCGAGCAUGCCACUAUUAGCAGUGUAAAACCCUAACAGAUCUUAAUGAAUAAAAAUAACUUAUGCACCAAGAAACCUGACUUCCAAUAAAACAAUUGUGCUUGGAAUGGGGAACUAGUUCAAUACGGAUUCUUUUCUAUGCUUCAAGAUAAACGAGGACUUUAUUAUGUCUCUAAUACAAAGCUAAGAGAUAAAAAACAUAAACAAGUAAACAAUGUGUCAAAUCGAUCAUAUCUGGUGAGAACGAAGACUGCCACCACUUUUGAGUUGCCUCAUAGCCACUAGAAUGAUGGUAUUUUUGCUCACCACUUUAACCCAAGUUGUACCAUCACCACCCUUCUCAACACUUGAUACGUGUUUAUGGGCAUAAUCAUAGUUCCACAAAUACAACAAAGAGUUAACUAUGGUUAUGCACAUGGACACAUGUCAAGUGUAAGGAAGUAUGGUGAUGGUACAUUUUGGUUUUGUCACAUCCCGGGAUCGGCUCCGCCGUAGCACGAUAUUGUCCGCUUUGGGCCCCUCUUUGCCCUUACGGUUUUGUUUCUGGGAGCUCACGAGCAACUUCCCAGUGGGUCACCCAUCCUGGGAUUGCUCUAGCCCCCAACUCGCUUAACUUCGGAGUUCCUACAACUCCGAAUCCAGUAAGCUCCCAAAAGGCCUCGUGCUAGAUGGAUGCGGGUGUGCACAUAUAAGGCACAUCAUCCCCUCUCCGUUGGUUGAUGUGGGAUCUUACAAUCCACCCCCCUUAAGGGCCCGAUGUCCUCGUCGGCAUACUCGUACCACACGGCAGAGUGGCUCUGAUACCAAAUUGUCAUAUUUCAGGAUCGACUCCAUCGUAGCACGAUAUUGUCCGCUUUGGGCCCCCCUCUCUGCCCUCACGGUUUUGUUUCUAGGAGCUCACGAGCAACUUCCCAGUGGGUUACCCAUCCUGGGAUUGCUCUGGCCCCCAACUCGCUUAACUUCGGAGUUCCUACGACUCCGAAGCCAGUGAGCUCCCAAAAGGCCUCGUGCUAGAUGGAUGCGGGUGUGCACAUAUAAGACACAUUACCCCCUCUCUGUUGGUUGAUGUGGGAUCUUACAAUCCAUCCCUUAAGGGUCCGACGUCCUCGUCGGCACACUCGCACCACACGGCAGAGUGACUCUGAUACCAAAUUGUCAUACCUCGGGAUCGGCUCCGCCGUAGCACGAUAUUGUCUGCUUUGGGCCCCCCUCUCUGCCUGCACGGUUUUGUUUCUAGGAGCUCACGAGCAACUUCCCAGUGGGUUACUCAUCCUGGGAUUGCUCUGGCCCCCAACUCGCUUAAUUCGGAGUUCCUACGACUCCGAAGCCAGUGAGCUCCCAAAAGACCUCGUGCUAGAUGGAUGCGGGUGUGCACAUAUAAGACACAUUACCCCCUUUCCGUUGGUUGAUGUGGGAUCUUACAGGUUUAAAGUGGUGAAAAAAAUAUUUCCCCAUUAGAAUAGCCUCAAAAUGUCAAGAAGAUUUGGUAACAAUCGAGUAGAAGCGCCACUAAUGGGCAAUUCAAGAUUAUUUCCCCUUUUUUAGACUUAUCUUUGACCUUGUGUGAUUAUCAAUUAAAAGCAUCCGCAAUGGUUGUUCCAAUUCAAUGCAAUAGUUCAAUAAAUUGAUCUUUUUUGGCAUUUAUUGAAUUGAACUGCAGUUUUACUUGUAAUGGUAUAGUUCAAUAGCUUCAAAUCAAUAGUUAUAUCAAUAGUUAUAGUUCAAUAGUCUCAAAGAAAUCUUUAAAAAGAGACUAAUUUUGGAAAAUCAAUUAUGUAAUUUUUUAUUUAUUGCAUUGAACUAUUGAACAACCAUUACAGAUACUCUUAACAACAUAAUGCAUUAAUUAUUGUUUUUUUUCUAUUUUUUUAUUGGCAUGUGGGUCCCCUAGUUAGCCUAUUGCAAUUGCAAUAGAGGGUUCAUCACAUAGAACCUUCUAUUACAAUGAACUAAAUCACACAAUUGCAAGUGAAAUUUUAGUAUUUUAGUUCAAUUUCAUGCAAUAAAAUUAUAUUGAUUCUAACCAUUGCAGAUGCUCUAAUGUACAAUUCCCCUUUUAGCGCCACUAACUUGGCCAAAUUCUCAUUACUUUAUAUCAAAACAGUGAGCCCAAGCCAUCAAUUGGCCCAAUUCUUUUAUUUAUUCCCAUGGAUUGAAAAUAGGACCAAAACACAGGGAUGUAACUGAAGCAAUUAAUAUUCUUGUACAAAAACUCAAAAUCAUAUGAGCAUGCUCUCAUCUUCGCAUGUUAUCCGAGUUUCUCCUCUUCUACUGCUGCACGUAAGAUACAGUGCAUACUUUAAAUUUCUUUUCAAAGGUCUCAUGGCAUAGUAUUAAUUUUCACAAAUACACAAAUCUGUUUUGGUUGUUCAAAUUACACACUGAGGAUAAUCUCAUUAAAUUUCUUUUCAAAUUGUGGCACUGCUUUUUGCCAAAUUAGAAAACUGCAUAACAGUAUUUCCUAUAUCGGCUGAGAUUGUUCCUACAACUUAACGAUGUUUUGCCGCAUGGGAACUGGGGAGGAAAACAAUGAAGAAAUGUGUGACAUUGCUAUGUAUGUAAUUAUUGUGUACAUUUAUUAAGUAAAAAAAUUCAAACAAUUGGUUCCAUUGGUUAGAGCAGUUCUAGCCAUGCCCCCAAGCCAGGCAGGAGGGGGGGUUCCAAGCCUAAAACGCGUUUCUAGCAGGCCUUUUUUGCCGGGGCAGCUUGUGGGUCCCACGGAACUAGGUUGGCCUGAAGGCAGAACAAGCUCGAGGGCGAGCUGACGCCAGCAUGUGGGUUUAAAUUUUUUUAUCGUUGGUGCGUGCAUUUAAUGCUCCAACGGUAAAAAAAAAAUUAAAUUCCGUGCAUUGUCGCCAGGUUAGCGUCAGUCCUUCCUUUCACCAACUGCUAGAAGCCACGUGGCGGACUCUGGGCGCUCCGAUUGGUUUUCUCCUUCAAUCCAAUGGUUGACUUUUUUUUUGCAAUAAAAUUAUGAAAAAAAUUCAAAAAAAUACCCAAAAAUUCAUGAAUUUUUUUUCUAUAAAUACCUACGAAUACUCUUCACUUUCAACACCAAAUCCUCAUACAUUUUCUUCUCCUUCUACUAUUAUUCACUUUCUACUCAACAUUUUAUUCACUUUCAAAAUUUAUUUUUAUUUAUCAUCUUAUGGCUUCUUCUAUCGAAACUGGAGGGGCGUGGAGCACCAUGGAAGAUGUUUUGUUGUGUGAGUGUUGGGUCCAAAUUAGUCAUUAUCUCGUCACGGGCAAUGAGAUUAAAUUCUCUCAUAUGUGGAGAAAAAUUCAUGCCGAAUUUUGUGAAAGAUCGGGUUCGACUCGUACGAAAAUGGCAUUGUUGAGUAGGUGGAAAAUUCUCAAUAAAGAGUUGGGAAAAUGGAGAGAUGCCUUGGCAAAAGCGAGGAACAACCAUAGAAGCGGGGGAAAAUCUUAGCAAUGAGGUAAAUUAUUUGUAAUUUUCGUUUUAUUAAUUUUAAUGUCCUAAUUUUUUUUUAAUGUUUCUUGCAUUUUCAAUUUUUUUUUAAAUAUUUCUUGCAUUUCUAUUUUUUUUAAUAAUGUUUCUUGCAUUUCCAAUAUUUUGUUAAUGUUUCUUGAAUUUCCACUAAUUUUUAAAUGUGUCUUGCAUUUUCAAUAUUUUGUUAAUGUUUCUUGCAUUUCCAAUAUUCUUUAAAUGUUCCUUGCAUUUCCAAUAUUUCAUUCCAAUGUUCUUUGCAUUUCCAAUAUUUUUUUAAUAGAUUAUGCAAGCACAAAUGUAGUUUGGUGCUAUUGGGCAAGGCCAAAAAACUUUCAACCAUGACCAAUGUUGGGAGGUGGUGAAGAAUUGUUUGGUGCUUUGAAAUAUUGCACGAAGAGAAUAAAAAGCAACCAAGUAAAAGGGGGUCGAGACUUUUACCGAAAUUUUAACAGAGUCUCCCCUAAAAAAAUGGUCUUUUCACAAAUUUUCCACCUAUGAAAAACAACAGAAAAAAAGUUCUCAACUGCCAGAACACACAAUGCUAAAGGCGCACAAAUUACAGAAUAGGCCUUCGGCCUUAAAUUCAACCCUACAUGGGCCAUAACAUAGCAAAUAUAAGAAAUCUUUAGUUUUACAACCAAAGCAUAAGUAUCAAAGGAAAUUAAACAAGUAAAAUUGCCUUACAACUGUUCAAGGCAUGAGAGUACGAAGUCUUGGCUUGGUUGCAAAACAAAAAUUGUGAGCGGACAAAAACAAAGUUUUAAUAUACUUUUAAACAAACAUACUAACCCCACCGUUUUGGAAAACGAUGCCCAAACAUGCCAAAAAACCAUUUAUAUAGCAUAAUCGACUCUAAAAACCAAGGUAUCCCAUAAUCCCGAUAUAGCAUAUAACACAAACUCAAACUAGACCUUUUUCCCUUCUCAGACCACUCUCUUCCGAGACACAUGCCUGUAAGCACAACAAUUGAGGAAGGUUCCUCACAAAUAAAUAAGAAUAAUAUAUAUAUAUAUAUACAUAUAUAGGUAUAACCACUACACCAAUACUAGUACGGGGGAAACAAUCCAACCUGGGGAUUGUUUGACUUAGGGCUAGGCAUUCAAACCGGCAACCCGGUCAAACCGCCCAAACCAAAUAGAUGGUUUAGGUUGGUUUGGUUUUUUUUCAAUCUUUUUUUGGUCAUCGGUUUGAACCCAAACCAAACUGAAAUAUAUGAUUCGGUGUACGGUUUGCAAUAUUCAAAACCACGAUUUAACCAAACCAAAUUGAAGAUAUUAAAAAAAAUAUUAUCAUAAGAUAUAUAUAAUACAUAGUUUCAAUCUUUCUUUUUCUUCUCUCUCAAUCUCUUCGUUUUCCUUGUCUUCAUCAGUCCACAUCUCUCUAUUUUUUUUUUCUCUUUCUUCUUACGUCUGUCUUCACUCCCUCUCCUCGUCUCCCUCUUCUUCUUCUUCUUCUUCUCUUUCUUUUCUUUUUCUCCUCUUCUUCUUCUUCUCCAUCUCUCCACCUUUUUUUUUCUUCUCUUCUCUUCUCUUCUCUCUCUCUCUCUCUCUCUCUCUCUCUCUCUCUCUCUCUCUAAGAAAGCCAAAAAAUCGAAACCGAACCAAAUCAAACCACCAAGUCUAGUUAACCGAAGUGGUCGGUUUUCAUCAAUUAUGGUUUGGUUUCGAUUUUAGCCAAACUGAGGCCUACGGUUCGGUGUUCGGGUUGAGCCCAAAAUCGAACCAACCCAAACCAAGCCCACCCAUAGUUUGACUAAACCACAUGCAGAAAUCCUCAAUACACUUGUGGCUAGGGAAGAGCAAUCCAAUAGGAACUAUUGCUCCCCACACAAGCACAACAGAAUCUUCAAUACUCGUGUGGCUGAAAUAAGUCUAACGCACGUUGACUGCCCGACAAGGGCCUAGGGUAACACCCAGUCAAGGGUGUCCGGGUUUCAACAUAUCCAAGUAUCCAUCAUUUCCAAGUAUCCAAGUGCCCGGAAGGUACAUAGGGUGGUGCUAACAGCACUUCAAUAUAACAUAUUGCACAUCCCAACAAAUAUACCAUAACCAUAUGCCAAAUUCCAAAUAUUCCAAAUUACCCAAUCCCAUAUACAUAGACAACCGAACAUUAAUAGAGUCCAUAACUCAAUACCCAAAUAUUUAAUCGUAGUAUAGAUAUCAAACUCUCAAAAGCAUAUAUACCAUAACCAAAAUAUUCACAAACUUCAAAUAUCAGUAUAACAUCCGAUAACCAUAAGAUAUUCUAACCCAUAAUUAAAACAACAAUAUAACUUCUUAAUCUCAAUAGUCAAAAUAAUCAAAUUUUAUAUAUAUGCAAUCCACUCUUUGAAAAUAAUGAUCAUUUGAAACAAAGUCCACUCACGAAAAGUACAAAGCUGCUUGACUUGCGGGGGUCCUUCGUGUUGAGUUCGUGGAGCUUGAGUACCUAUUUUACUGAACACGAGGACUUAAUCAAAACGACUAAACCAACCACGAACUUAAAUUCAACUCCCAAGCUCUAGCGAUUCAAAGUGUGUGUGCACGACUAUUGGGGAGUUUCUAAGGCUAAUAUAAUGCUUUUGAAAGGUGGAACGACCUUGGAAGACUCACGGUCAACCAAGUGGCCAAACUUCUCAAAUUGGUCAAUCGGGUCCGUGGGGUCACGACCUCUGAUUUUCGAUCCGAAAAUUCCAACUAGAUCCUAAAGGUAUAGAGAACAACAUAUUUGAAAUUAGGACCGAUUAUCGAACCCGAAUAUUGCAUAAUAUGCGUAAUAUUCGUCUGAUAGUCAAACGAUAACCAAUUCUAAAUCCAAGCAUACCGUCGUGCUAAGGACGAGUUGAGGAGUGUUUUAGAACAUAAUUUGCCGCCACAAAAUGGUCCACGCGCCGGCACCCACUGCCGAUAAUGCGUGGUGUCUUGAGAAAUUUUCAGCAAAAACACCCUACAAUACUUUUGCCAACAGAUUCAGAUUAACUAGGGGGUCAACUUUUGUUCUUGGACCACGGCCAAAAACUAGCCGGAACUAGCUGAAUCGAGCCGAAACCAUCAGCUAAAAUGGGAAUAUUGAACGAUAUGUAAAACCUCCAAAUGAAUCCCAAGAUACCUAUACUAACAGCUAGAGCAUGUUAAGGGGAUGAAGAAUCAUACAUUGGUCGACAUAAACAACCGCUAGAAUUGCAAGAAAUUGCACGAACAUCAUUGGCGAUUAAAUGAGGGUUUUGCAAGGUUUGAGUCCAAAAUCACGACCAAAUUUGGAGUUUUGAAGGUGGAAAUAGGUAUGCAAGUGUAGAGGAGGAAGAGACAAACGUUUUGUGGGUCGUGGUGUCUCCGGCUGUGGCCGGAUGGAGGAGAAAACACCAGCCAAACAGGCCGGUUUGUUUCGGGAAGAAGGAGAGGGUCGCUUAAGCAAGGAGAGAGAAAGUGAGAGAGAUCUGAUCGUUCGUUUUAAAACCCAACUUUGAAAAAAUUAUGGUUGUGCAACUACACUUCCGUAGACCACAACUUCUUUAUUUAAACUCGGAUUUGGACCUACUACGUGUCUACGAACUCGUGAGAGCGAGCUCUACGCAAUGGUGCCACUCAUUUUCUCAAAAUCCUUCUAGAUCGAAAAGGGACUAAAGUGACCCUACCCCCAAGGGCAAAAUUAUAAAUUCGGAAAUAAAAAUGAAUUGAAUAAAAUGAUUAAAUUAGAUCGAGAUGUUACAAUAUUGUUGUUGUUGUUUUUCUUUAAUUAAUGUAGCCCCCUGGUUCCUCCCUUUUUUUUUUUUUUUUUUUUUUUAGUGUAAGUUGUUUUUUUAUAUAAUUGUAACGACACUAAGAAAGAUACCAACUCACCACACAACUUAAAAAACAGAAGCUAAUUUAUAAGAAAAUAACUAAACAGAAAAGAAAACAAAGACGUCACAUAUUGUAAUUUUUAAAUAUAUAUUUUCUUACAAGCAAAAAAAUUCUAAAAAAAGAAACUUAAAUUUUUAUUUAAGUUAAACUUUAUAUAUAUAUAUAUAUUAUUGUUAAUUUUAAUUUUAAAGAAACAAAAACUUAAAAUUACUAAAAUAAUAAUAACAAAACAAGUAAAGAGAAAACAAAAUAAGAAUUAUUGUAUCACUCGUGUAUCACCAUGGUAUCACCACGUUAUCACUAUGGUGUCACCUGUUUAUCACGUUUUAGGUCAGAGAUGAAUUUAUGAACUUCCACUAUUUUUCAGUUUCAACCUUUGUCCCAUUUUGGACCUAUAACUUUCUAACCAUUAAUCCAGAUUUUAUGUUCUUUAUAUGGUUGGAUUCAGAAUGACAAAAUGGAGAACUCAGCGAGGACCGAAUGGUAAAAUUAGUUACAGAAGUGUACAUAAUUCAUUAAAACGAACAGUUAAAGUUUUGACACAAGAAAAACAAAGCAAAAAAACAUUCCCACCAAGAACUUAAAUGAAACAUUGUCCUUAAUGUUGAAAAGAGUAAAAUCAUAUCAUGCAAUGUAUCAUAAGGCCAAGGGACGAAACAAAGCAAAAUAAAAUUAAAACAAAAACUUAAAUUACUUAAAACUAAACAAGCAAAGAGGAAUGAUUGAAAAUUAAUACUCCCCUUUGAAGCAAUUAGACCAAGCAUGGAUGCAUUUGGAGGUCGCUUGGAGGUCGCGACUUCUCCCAAUACCCCACACUUCCCAUCCUUAUGAUUGGAGUUGCCUUCUCUCUUUCCCCUUUUUUAUUGGGCUAUCCUAGAUUGCUAAAACGAACACAGAAAACUUAAAACAGAAUUAAAAGAAUUAGGAAGGAAAAAUUAAUAUGAAAAGUAAAGCAAGUAGGGAAACAAAAUAAAACCAAACUAUGCUACCAAUCCCCGACAAAGGAGCCAAAAACUUCUUGUGUCGAUUCAGCUGCACCAAAGUUGAUUUAGCUACAUCCUCAACUUGUGAUAUUCGCAAGUGCAUGAACCGUUGGAUAGUAUAGUAUAUGUAAGUGCAAGGUCAAUCCCACAAGGAUUGAUGAUAGAUUGAUUCAAUUCGAUUCCCUGCAUAAAACAAAAAUGGAAACAAGGUUUAAAGAUUAUUGAGAAGAGUACAAGAAUUGAAAACUUAAAGUUUAAUCAAACAAAGAAGAAAGGCUCUAAAACUGGUUUUGGGUUUAAAAACAAUUCUAGGACACUAGGGAACAAUCCAAUUCUAAGUCUCAAGCAAUUAAGUGAAUAAGUUCAGUUCAGAUUCACAGAUUGAUUCUAGCUAAAGUAUGAGUAAGCCAUGGUAUCUAGUUCUAACCUUGAAUUCCUAAUUACCUAAUUAAGUCCUUGUUGUCGAACCUAAAUUAAGCAUUAGAAAUCCGUUAAGUAUAGAAGAAUGUUAUAAACAACCAAACAUAUGAAUGAUUUGUUUUGUUUUUCUUGUGUCAAUCUUGACAGGAUCAUAAUUACUUCAACUAAGAUAGCUAACAUACAAGUUUUAAUGGUGAUCAAUAAUUCAAACAAGCAUAUUAACUUAUAAGCAUAUGAAUGAUGUAGGACGAAAUAUGGGUCAAUUAUGGUGUGAAAAAUUAAUUAAAAUAAAGUGGCUCAAAGUUGGAAGGAAAUCGUGCAAGAGAGGAAAAUUCCAAUUAAAUGUCAAUUAUGGCACUAGGAAAAGAAGGAAGGCGUAUCGUUGGGAUUUUCUAAUUGAUUGAGCAAGUUUGAAGUAAUUAUGAUCCUGUCAAGAUUUAUAUUUAAUCUAUAUUUUGAAGAAUAAGUUAUCUAUUAGGAUAUUAUUUUCCUAAUAUGAUUUUUAUUAUUUUCUUAUUAGCUAAAUUUAGGAAUAUUCUAGAAGCUAGGGUUUCCUACAGUUUUAGGGUUUCUUUGUUUUCUAUUUAAGCCAACUCAUGGCAUUUAUUUGUGAGUUGAUUCAUCUUAUUUUCAAUCAAUAUUGAUUCAUCUUAUUUUCAAUCAAUAUAUUUGAGGUUUACUCAAUUUCUCUAGUUGAUUCCAGUUUGUUGGUGGAUUCCGACAUUGUUACUUAUAGGGUUAUCAUUCGAUCUUCCUAUCCUUUAUAUCUCGAUGCGUCAAUGAAUAAGAACAAGAACUAUAAUUGAAACUUGAAAACUAAUCAAACUUGAAAACUUAAAAUAAGAAAUUACGUAACAAUGAAAAAUAAAAUACAAUUAAGAAAAACAUAAAGAAAAAUCUAGCAAAAGAGUUUUAUUACAACAAUUGAGAAUUUAAAAUGAAAACUAAGAGAAGAAAAACUAAAAUAGUAGAUGCCCCUAGAUCCUUGCCUUCGGCUCCCCAUGGUCUCUAAUUCUAACUCUAUUUGGUGCCCAAAGUCUUGCACAACUUCUGCACACCUUUCAUACCUUAUUCUCUCUGCCGUAGCUCUCUAUUUAUAGAGAAUGAAAAUCUCUUGUAGCAGCACAUUUCCAUGUGGAUGUACGGUACAUUUCCAUGCCUAAGUCCUCAAAUAGUCUAUCUUGCUGCAUAUCAAACUUUCUUCAUGUGCUGGCUGCUGCACUUUUAAUUCAUCCACCUGUUACGGCAGCCUUUGCUUGCCUUUGGCAUUUGCAAACCUCCAAGAGGUUUUGCUGCCAACGUUCUUCUUUCAUUUCUUUGCAUUAUUCUUUCUCCUUUUGGUUGCUGCCCAUUCCUCUUUCUUUUCUUUAUCUUUCUCUGCUCAUCACGUGUUGGCAUAUUGGCAUUUUGUGUCAGCCAACAUCAUUCUUUAUACUUCUUCCUAUUCUUUUUCAUUUGCUGUCUGCACACAUGGUGGGCUGCUGCCCAAAGUUGCUCCCUUCAAUCUUUCCAACUCAUAUUUGCAUAGAAAAUUCCACCUUUUCUCCUCUAUUACAAUUGGUUUUAAUACAUUAAGAGGAAUUCUUUCAACUUUAAAAAUCUGAAAACCAAACUUCAUAAUGUAAAACAAUGUUACCAAGAGGUGUGGUAACAAGCAGAAAAAGAGGUAGCACACAAAUGACUCUACAAUAGGAUUAAAGCUCCCAAUGUAUGCUAGAGAGAGAGAGAGAGAGAGAGAGAGAGAGAGAGAGAGAGAGAGAGAGAGAGAGAGCAAAAGGCCCAAGAAGGGCAAAGAUGACUCCAAGUAAUUUUGCCUAAAACAAAAUUAUGCCUAUCUGUCGAUUCCAUGCAGAAAACGGGCUUGACAAAAACUAGAUUAUCUCUUUCCAAUUAAAGUCAUGUGGAGCCUUGAAAUUUCCAACUAAUAUUAAGAUUCUGUGCCUGUCGAUCUACUGCACAUGUGCCACAGUUAAGCUGCCAUUAGCAAAGUCCUUCGGAAAGCACCAUAUAAAAAAUGGCGGUGUUAUCAGCUUUAAAGCAUGUAUCUCUUGGGGCGUCUAUAGCCUCUAAGAUUUUACAUUUAUUACUAUCUUCCUUAGUUUCCAUUUCCACGUUCACUUUUGAUCGAUCCUGGUUGUAGUCGUGUAUUUGUGUUGUAAGUUGUGAUCACAAGAAGGAGGUCCUAAUUUUCUUAUAUUCUUUUCUCAUAAGGAAAAGAACAGUGUGCUCCUAUUAAAGACCAAAGAAAAAAAGAGCAUUAGAAAAAGAAAAGAUGACGGAGAAGGUGACUGUGAGCGUAAGGGAGUCAACGAUGGUGAGGCCUGCCGAGGAGUCGACGCCUCGGGGCUCACUGUGGCUCUCCAACUCGGACCUAGCAUUCACACCCUUUCACACGUCCUCUGUUUACUUUUAUAGAACAAGCGGUGAGCUCAACUUCUUUGAUCGGAGAGUGCUCAAGCAAGCGCUCAGCAAGGUCCUCGUGCCCUUCUGCCCCAUGGCCGGUCGAUUCAAGCUAAAUGACCAGAAUGGCCGUGGGGAGAUUGAUUGCAAUGCGGAGGGAGUGCUUUUUGUUGUGGCAGAGAGCAACUCUGUCGUUGAUGAUUUUGGCGAUUUUGCGCCCACUUCCGAUUUCCUUAAGCUCAUCCCCGCCGUGGAAUACUCGGUUGGAAUAUCCUCAUAUCCCCUUUUGGUGUUACAGGUAUUUAAUAAUGAUCAUCCAAGGUCUUUUAUAUUUUGUAAAAUUUGUAUAUGUAUAUACUUAUAUUCUCGUUGCACGCGCGUUACUCAUUGCAUCAUUUUGAUCUAGUUUUGGAACCGAAUAAGAUGUUUCAUUGAAUUUUGUCAUUUUAAAUUAUCAAGUCCUAGGUCACUCUCGUUCGCCUCUGCGGUCUCGUCAUGCUCCAAGUACCAUCGAAACACCACUUUUAACUCUUCUACUCUCCAUCAGAAAACUUUUGUUCUAUUUUGAAGCAUAUAUGUUGUCUGCAAAAUCCAAACCCACUCACAUGUCAUCAGAAACCCAAAUUCUGCAAUUUUGAGCAAUUGCAACUUCAAAUCCAAUCCAGUCUUUCCGAAUCAUCCCAACCCAUCUCUAUAUUAACGUAUUUCUCUUAAUUUUAAGUCAAGUUCAGUAAUAACAAACAUUUUCUAUUUGCAUCUCUGUACCAAAAGCUGUGGUUCUUUUCUGGUCACACAACCUGUGGUGCUUGAGAGAGAGAGAGAGAGAGAGAGAGAGAGAGAGAGAGAGAGAUUACCAGUAACCAUAUAUUUAUAUAUGGUUGUGUUUUAAUUUCUACGUAUAUAUGCAAACGCAGGUUACGUACUUCAAAUGUGGUGGUGUGUCGCUGUUGGAGUGGACCACCGCAUUGCAGAUGGAGCAUCUAGUCUACACUUCGUAAAUACAUGGUCUGAUAUUGCUCGUGAUGAUCUCUCAAAUAUUAAACCACCCUUCAUGAACAGGAUGUUACUUUGUGCUCGAGAUGCACCUCAGCCAGCAUUUCCUCACGUUGAAUAUCAACCUUUUCCACAAAUGAAAUUAGCUUCUGAUCAUCUGGAAAGCACAAGUAAUACUACUGCCUCGAUUUUUAGAUUUACGCGGGAGCAGCUCAACAUCUUGAAAGCCAACUCUGCGGAAGAUGACGGCGGGAAUAUUAAUACAAUCAAGUAUAGCACAUUUGAGGUGUUGGCAGGGCAUAUUUGGAGAUGUGCUUGCAAGGCACGUAAACUGCCAGAUGAUCAAGACACCAAAGUACUCAUUCCCAUUGAUGGACGGUCUAGAUUGCAACCCCCACUCCCACCCGGUUUCUUUGGCAAUGUCAUUUUUAGAGCCACACAUAUUGCUGCAGCAGGGGAUCUCCAGUCCAAACCAACAUGGUAUGCUGCAAGCUGUGUUCAUAAUGCUUUGGUCCAGAUUGAUGAUGAUUAUCUCAGAUCAGCCGUUGACUAUCUUGAGCUUCAUCGUCCUUGUGUUUCCCCACUUGUUAUGGGGGCCCUGUUGAUCAGGUGCCCGAAUCUUUGGAUAAACAGUUGGGUUAGGCUGCCGAUUCACGACGCUGAUUUUGGUUGGGGUCGACCCAUUUUCAUGGGGCCUGGCACACUAUUUGACGGGAUGGCUUUGUUGUUACCAAGCGCAACUAAUGAUGGGAGUUUAUCCCUGAUGAUUUCUCUGCAUUCUGAACACUUGAAAUCAUUUUCCAAGUUGUUGUAUGACAUAUGAGGAAAUGUCACGGUUGAAGAAAUUUGGUGCUGUCUGGUUUGAAUUGCUGUUAUUCCCCUCAUCUUUAUGGGUGUUCAAAUUUGAAGUUGUGUAUUGGUUCGUGCACGUUGCUUGAUUGAGUAUUGAAACUUUUUUUUUUUCGAAAGUAUGGUGGACUUCUUGUCCACAAUGCUGGUUGUGUUAUAUUGUGAUUCUUAAUAGAGGAUUCUCUUUCUCAUGAAAUUAAAAGAACAUUGGAACCAAAAGAGUAGGAGUCAUAAAGAGGUUCGAAAAUUUUGUAAAGAGAUUACCAAAAUAAUUAGAAAUCUGAACACCCCUCAAAGGUUACAAAACUCUUAUUUCUAGGCCUAUAGAUACAUCCGUUAAUGAUUGUACUUGCAGAACAUACAUUCCUAAUGUAAAAAUCGCUAUUAAUGAUUGUAUGUUCAAAAUGCAAAUUUAAACCAAGUAAUGAAUGUACAAUACGAAUAGACACUGUACAAUCAAGUAUGUUAUAUGAUUCAUAAUGCACUAUUACCUCUAUGAAUUUUGGCAUCUUUAUAUUAGAACAAUAUGAACUUUGGUUCGUAUCUAAAUGUAGUGUUAAAUUACAAAAUGGGCAUGGUCGGACCUCUUUAUUUUUGGACCUGCUUAGGCGUGGAUAAAGGUUAUCUGGGCUUUAUUUUUGGCCUUACUAGUUAUUUGCUUUUUUGUUGGGAGACCUUACUUUUAUUUGGUGUUAACAGAAGCCCCCUAAGUCCUAAAUUUGGUAUCAACAGAAGCCCCAUAAGUCUAAAAUUUGGUGUCAACUGAAGCCUCCUAAGUCUUAACUUUGGUGUCAACAGAAGCCCCCUAAGUCCUAAAUUUAGUGUCAACCACACCACUCUUUUCGAUCCAAUAUGAAGUCUUAAAUUGGUCAACCACGCCAAAACCCCAAGGAGUAAAAUACUCCUUCAAGUUCUGUUAGAGAUUCCUAUAUAAAGACUGCUCAAAGUCAAUACGAACACAUUUUUUAUUUUUUUUGGUCUGAAACUCAUCUUCAAAGAUUACACAUAACUCAUUUAAAAAAAUCUUGACAUAUUAUCUUUUAUUCAAAAACAUAUUUCUAAAUAGAUUCCAAAGAUUUCAGAGAUUUCCAAUGAGAUUACUCAGAGACUUCAAAUCAUAUAGGUCACAAUAGCCACUUAUUUCCAAUAUGAUUACGAAUUCGAGUCUAACUUCCCCAAUUGACGCAUAUUGUUAGAGGGCAAUGUGGUCCACCCGUCGUCCCUUUAGGCCUACCGCAUGAGUGCAAAAUGGGCAUGAUCGGGCCUCUUUGUUUAGGGCUUUCUUAGGUGUGGAUAAAGGUUUUAUGCGCUUUACUUUUGGCCUUUUGAUUCCAAUCAAUUACUUUAAGUGAUAGGCCCGCAAUUGACCUACCAUUUCCUCUCAGCUGGUUGCGUUGCUUGCCUCUUAGGGUACCUCCCAUCUUCCUGUUCAAAUUCUGGUUAUCGAAACAAUUCCAAUUUCAAAAACUUAUAUGGCGUUAAGUUUGGUGUCAACAAUGGAGUUUUGAUUUUAUGUUGCAUGUUUAAUAAUUCUUUAUUAUAUAUAUAUAUAAACAAAUGCUCAUGAGUCCUAGUUUUAAAUUUUCUAUCAAUAUAUAUGGUCUAAUUCUUUUUACAGUAUUUCAUUAAAGACUUAGGAGGCCCAUUAUUCAUUUUGUAUAUAAGCCUUAAAAUCUCAGAGCCGCCGGUGCAUAAAGUAAAGACAUUCAAAUCGGAAUUAUAACUAUUGGCUUAAUGUCAAUUUUCCUACCCUUUUCCCAGAGGGGCAUUGUGGAGACAAAAAUAUCACCAGUCAUGCCCUCACUCAAUCCGCACACAAAACAUGAAAGUAAUCUUAUGUGGAAAACUAGCAAUUGAACUUGUGAAAAAAUAGUGAAUGGACUUGGAUCAACAAUGCCAAAAAAAAAAAAAAAAAAAAUGUAUGCUGCUAAGCAACAAUGCUAUUAUUUAGGAGUGGUUGCGGUUCGGUAACCGCGAAUUUUUCUUUGAACCGCAAACCGAUAUACUAUUUCCGGUAAGGUGAUUUUUGAAAUUGCAAACCGACCGCAUUUUGCGGUUUACCGCAAACCGCAAAAAUCGGUUGAUUACCGUGAAUUAACGGUUUAAACCUAUUUGAAUAUUUUGGGCCUAAAUUAGACAAUUUUAGAUCUUUAAGUGUGGUCCUUUUGUGUCAAAAAAAUUCAAUCUUCCACACUUUUAAGCCUAGGUUUGAUGCUUCUUUUGAAGCUUUUUGAGUUCAAGCAUACGUUAACCAAAAAAUAUAAAUCACAACCUAAAGAAAUAAAUUCAUGACCUCAACUUCUCAAGCAUAUAUAAAUUUACAACCUAAAGAAAUAAAUUCACAACCUCAACAUCUCAAGCAUAUAUAAAUUCACAACCUCAACCUCAACUUCUCGAGCAUUCACAACCUAAAGAAAAAUCCAAUUCAAAGUUAAUUAAAGUUAGAAACCAAAAAGAAAAUGCAAUGCAAAAUGAAUUAAAGUUACAACCCAAAGGAAAAAUCCAAUUCAAAGUUAAUUAAAGUUAGAAACCAAAAGGAAAAUGCAAUGCAAAAUGAAUUAAAGUUACAAUCCAAAGGGAAAAUCCAAUUCAAAGUUAAUUAAAGUUACAAACCAAAAGGAGUGUAGGUGGUGGUGAGUGGAUUUUAUUAUAAGAAGAAACCAUUCUUUAUGAGUUGGAGUGGAGGCUGUGUUUUGGGUGUAUCGGUUUGUGUUUGGGGGGAUUAGAGGCAUUAUGUGUGUUAGAGUGGCUAGACUCCAACUAUAACACAACACAACACAAAAGCAACAACAUAAAAGCAUAUUAAUAACAUAUUAAACUCAACCAAAUUAAAACACAACAUCUAACUACUAAAAUGCAACUUUUUUUAAAAAAAUAUUUGCGGUUUGCGAUAACCACGAGUUGCUAAAAUCACAUACCGCAACUGCAACCGCAAUUUUCAGUUGGUUUUUAGCUAUUGCGGUAUAAUGUCGGUUGAUUUUUGCGGUUUUUCGGUAUAACAUGCCACCCCUACUAUUACUAGUAAAAGUGCCACCGAAAAUAUUAUCAGCACCUGUAUGUUGCUUUGCUCUUACUUGAAAAAAAAAAUACAUGAGAGUCAAACAAGGACUAAUAAGGGGCAAAGACCUAUCCCAAAUGACUAUUUUUUAUUACGAAAGAUUCAUCCCAAUAAUAAGUAAUUGCAUAUUAGGGGUGUUGUUAGAAGCACGUUAAAUUUUGUAUUGAAAAUUAAAGUGCAUUAUGGAAAAGCUCUUGAAAUUGUGAGAGUGAUUUAAGACUCAUAAUCAUUUUUAAAAUUUUCUUGCCGAGUAUGUCAAUAACGUCUUUCAUUGUGAGAAAAUGGUUUUAGUCGUUCCAUAACAAUGCCUAACAAAUGUGAAAUUGGUACUUAGGUGACGAGGGGUAAAGUUAAAUGCUAUUCAAGCGGACACAGCGAUCUUCACACACUUUAAACCUUGACCAAAUAUACUUAUGACUAGUCAAUUGCUAGUCUUGAAAAACCAUAACCAAAAACACACAUAGAGCAUAACAAUCUGUACUUGCAAGUUUAGAAGAUUAUUAGUGACAACCUAGGCACUUAGAAUGUAACACCCCGAGUCCAAAUUUAAUUCCUAUUUUAAAUUAUUUAAAUGAAUUUACGAAUUUACCCUUAGGGUAGGGGUAAAUUGGUCAAUUUCUUACCCAGAAAGUGUUUGGGGCAGUAACUGGUAUUUUUGGGUAGGUGGUACUAAGACGAAUUCAAAGACACGCGGUAGGCUUGAAUCGGAGUUGUAACGAAGAAGUUACGGGCAAAACACUAUCAGUGGCAAAAUCGUAAAUAUUUUGAAGUUUGGGUUUAAAAUAUCUGAUCUCUCUCCCUCUCUCUCUCUCUCUCUCUCUCUCUCUCUCUCUCUCUCGCGGCUGAACCCCCCUCCCCGUUUCGAUUUUUCGCCGGAAUUUCAGACGGCGAGAACUUCGCCGUCCGACCUCCAUUUCAGGCCCCGUUUCUUGCAAAAGCUUCCUCUCUUCCUCCUCUACCCAACCCACCCCUUUUCUCCGAUCGAAAACCCGACAAACGGCGGUGGCAACGACGUGAAAAAUAGCCAAAACUGCCGACGUCACCGGCAACGUUUCCGGCCAUCGCGAGCUGCGCCGUCACUUGGAACAGGUAGCUCUCCUUCCCUUCCAGCUGUUUCCUAGGUUGUGCGAUGACAAUGUCCACGGUGGUCGUCAGAUCGAAGCCGUGAAGUUCUGGGUUAAACCGUGAGUUUUCAACGCCGAUUCCGGCCCCUUGCCGUCCGAAUUGGACUUGGGUGUAGUUGAAUAAAGUGUUCCACUCGUCGAGUAGAACCUGUAGCCGGAAGGGUGGCUUGUAGUUUGGAGAUUUUCUAGCGAAGCUUUAUCGCUUUGGACACCCACACGCUGCCGGCACGUGGGCACUGUAGCAGAGGGGCAUUAUUGUCCCAAUGCGACCUCCUGGUUGGCACGAGCACGUAGGAUUUUGCGGAUCUCAAUUCGGACAUCGUUUGACUAUCGAACGAAUUUUUGCAUAUUGUGCGUUAUCCGGGUUCGAUAGGUUCCGACCGUUAGAUCCUUUCCGAAUUAAAAUAUGUUAUUCUAGGUAUUCCUAGGAUCGUAUAAGAAUUCUCGGAUCGUGAAUCGGAACCCCGGAUGUUCCGAUUCAAUAACUUAAAGUUUGCGUUUUAUAAUAACCGUCCGAUUGUGCGAUCGUAAGCCAUCUAACUGUCCGUUUCGGACCAAACUUGCGAGACGGGUAUCUUAGACCUUGUGAAACCUUUAGGAACUUUCGGGUUGUAAAACGGAGGUCGUGGGUCCCGUGGGCCCGGUUGACCCAAAUUGGGAAGUUUGACCACUGGUUGACCGAGUGUCUCCUGAAGUUAUUCCAUCGUCCAAAUCGGGUAGUUGGAUCUUAGAACGUCUCGUUCCUAGUACACUUACUAGAAACCUGGGAAAUUAGGAUAUUUAAUUUAAAGUACUCGUUCGAAACGUUUCGUAUUAAUCUCGUAUACGUAUUCUGAAUUAGGUACUCCGACUACGCAUACACAGCAGGCGGGACCCUCUCAGGGUCAAGCAGCGUGGGACUACUUGUGAGUGGACUUUGUUUUCAAAUCUUGUGCAUGGUUUUAUUGAUGAAAGAUUUAUGCAUAAUGUUUUUAAUGAUUUAUUGAAUAUAUUAUAUUCAUGAGUUGAAUUUGAUGUUUGUAUAGUGCUUUGGCAUAGUUGGGUAUUGAAAGUAUAUUUUAUAUGAAUUUUGGGAAAUAUUAUGUAUGAUGUUUUAAAUGGUAUUUUGGAUAUAUUAUUUAUGAAAUUGUUGAAAGUGAUAUUUUUAUGAGGCAUUGAAAAUAUAUUUUGGGUUUUGACGUAUUUGAGUAUCUUGAGUAUGAAUAUAUGGAUUUUGGGGAUUUCUAUAUAUAUUUGGCUAUGUGUGAGGUACUUGGGUUGUUGAGAUGAGAUUAUGGAAAGUGGUCAGUAUAGAAUGUCAGUUUGGUGUGCUGUAAGCACUACCCUAUGUACCUCCCCGGAUGUGGAACUUGGAUACGGAGACUUGAGAUACUUGGAAUUGUCGGGACUCGGGGCAUCCUUGACGGGAUGUUGCUGUAGACCCUUAAUUGGGUAGUCUGCGCUCGUAGGACUGAUCACAGACGUACGGAUUUUGAGGUUAUCGGCAGUACGCGCUGGCUGAGAGUUGGUCCCCCAGUUGGACAGCUCGUUCCCUAGUCACAUGGUGGAUUGAGGACUCAUCACGAGGACUCUGCCAGGGUGACUAGUCAAACAAUCCCCCGGUUGGAUUGUUUCCCCGGUACAACUAGGUGAUGGUUAUAUUUAUACUAUAUAUAUAUAUAUCUCUCUUAUAUUAUAUAUUUAUAUCUAUUCAUUCAUUCUUGUUUUUCGGUGUGGAUACUUCCUUGCCGGUCGUGCCAAUGGGUACGCUUUCGAGAGUUUGGUUGUGGGAUUUAUAAGUUUUUGGAUAGUAGGUUUUGUGAAGCGUUCGUUUUGGAUUUCGGACUUGGAAUCUGGUAUUGAUUUGUUUUGUUAUAUUAUAUAUAUAUAUAUACUUGAGUAUGACGGUUUUGAGAUGCAUGGGAUUUCUUGCAUGGUUUUCUAAACGGUGGGGUUAUAUUACGUUGGUUUACACUGAACUGAAUUUAUUUUUGUCUACUCACAAUUUUCUGUUUUGCGCCCCCCCAGCCAGUAGUUGACUGAGCUCCGCAGUAGAGCCGGAUCGUGCGCUUCCGAGCCUUGAGUCAUCGUAGGACUCUUUCUUCAUGUUAUUUCCUUUGUACUCUGUUUUGUUGUAAUUAAAGUCCUUAGACAUGCUCUGUUAUCGCCCCUGUUAGGGUUUGAAUUGUGAGGUCGGAGGCCAUUUUGUUGUAAACUGUUUAUUCGUUUCAAAGCAUGCUGCUGGUUAGGAUUAUUCUGUAUUUUUAUGCAGGUUGAAUUUUGUUGGUUUGUUCAAUUCACAGGGGAGACUCUGCCAAAAUUUUGGUGGAGAGUCUCGGUUUUUAGUAAGUGGGCCCGGCAUCGGGAAGAUGUCGGAAUAAAGAUGGGAUUCGCUCCGGUCUCCGGGGAAAUUCCGGGGCGGGUCCUGUCAUAGAAGGACCCGUUAAUCUAGGCAUCCCCUGUGCUAGCAACACUAUGGUAAAAGUGUGUGGAAACAUCAUAAUCAAGUAAACAGCAAAUAACAGAUAAUGAUGACUAGUCAACCGCAAGAACACAAACCCAUAAAUGCAUGAAUAUCAUGCGAUGACUAGUCAACUAUCAAGAACAUAAACCCAGAAAAUAACAAAGCUGCAAACCAAAAAUUGUUCACCCACAAACCUACAACUGGGAAAAACUGGGGGUCAUCAACAGACCAGGCAAUCCUCUAAGCGAAGAAAAUUCUUACAAAGGAACACAAGCAAGCUCAAAAAAUCCUAGAUCUAUUUAGGAAGAUAAGCUAUACCUCCUUUGUGCAAUCUUCUUAUCCAACUUAACAAAACCAGUAGCUUAUUCCUUCAUGGCAAUGGUAGCUCCUUCUUCGGCUCUUUCAUCACAGGGCACCAGCUAGCCAGCUCAAAUUCAGAUAGAAACCAAAAUUUGGAUUCAAGGAAAAAUGAUCAAUUUUUUCAAGAAACCAUGCUCUUGAAGAAAUCAAUCUUGAAUCUGACCAAGAUGUAUAUGAGGAUGUGUUUGUUGUGUAUCAUGCUUGUUGCAUAAUUCAGCUUGUCUAUGGGGAUAAUGGGUCAUUUAUGUAUCAUCAUGGAUAUGGUUAUGCACCAUAUGACACAUAUGCAACAUCUCUGUUAAAUUUACUUUUGAAUGUCAAUGUCCCUUCCAAUUAUGUUUAAAAUUCAGGACCUUGAGAAAACACCUCUUAUGUGAGAAACUUUUUUCUAUCCUGACAUCAUUGUGUAUCAUGUUUGUUGCAUAUUUCAGGCUGUUUAUGGGGAUAUUGGGUCAUUUAUGUGUCAUUUCAAGCGUAUAUGGGGUAACUUCACUUCAUCUUUUUUUUAAAAAAAAAAUGUUCCUCACCCCUCUGCCUCCCCCUUUAUUCAAAACAAGGGCAACCAUUAUCCCAUUUCAACCUCUCACAACUAGAGCUAAGCUAAAGCACAAGGGAAUUUUGCAAAGAGGUAUAUUUAAUAUGUGCAGCUUAUUUUAAUUUUGGCUAUUUAAUUUGGGAAUUUUAGGAGCUUAGUUUGAUUUGUAUUGUGUUUAUUUAAUUUGUGCAGCCUUGGUUUAAAGCUUUGGUUGCCUUUGCGAUUCGACAAGGAUUGAUUUCGUGAUUGCUGUGAAAGUAAUCAAAUAUAAAAAAAAAGAAAAAGAAAAAGAAAUUGCUUAAACACGUUUGGUACUUGGGCAUUUUUUGUUGAGUCUAAAUGUUAAAUUGCGACUUCUUUUUUUCUUUUUGGUUUAAUAUUGGAAUUUUAGCAGCUUGGUUUUAUUUUUAUUAUGUUCAUUUAAUUUGUGUAGGCCCUUGUGUAAAGCUUUGGUUCCCUUGACAAUUCAAAUAUGAAGAGUUGUUCCUAGGAACUUAUAGUAAUUUUACGUAUAUUUUUAUGACUUUUAAAAAUUAUAAAUUUUACAAAUAACAGAGAAAUGACAUGUCAUAAUUGCAAUGCUACAUCAGUACUUGUUUGCCACCAAAAUUUCGUAAACGCUUCAAAAGGAUUCGCUAGAGCUUCAACAUUGCUUCAUCUACUAUUCACUAAAGCUUCAUAAUAUUAUUUUUAUUUUUGGCUUAAGUGUCAAAAUGGUCCAUGUGUUUUAACACAAUGGCCAAUUUAAUCCCUGUGUUUUUAAUUUGGCCAAUUCGGUCCUUGUGUUUAUGAUCAUUAGCUAAUUUAGUCCAUCCAGUUAAAAUAGUCGUUAAAUAUGAACAUGAUUGGUUUUUUUUUUUUUUGAAAACGUAUAAAGCUUUUUUAAAUUAAAAAAAGUUGAAUUGAUUUAAAAAUAUUAAAACUUCAAUUAAACUAACAUAACAUUAGGGAAAAAAAAAACUUGAAAAAAUGAAGGAGGCGUAGUCCGGGGAGGGGAAGGGCUGCUUAAUGAGUGGAGUAGUGGGAAGAGGGGUUGACCAUUGCAGGGUGGGGGUGGGUGAUGAAUGAAGGCAUACAACAGAAGAGGGAGAGAUGGGGGUUGGAGAUGGUGUGAACGAUCUGGGAGCCAUGACUGAGGAUGGGGCAAAUGGCUAGGCAAGGGUUAGGUUCUGGAAGAUCUUGCUGGGAGCUGGUCAAAUAAGGGUAAAUGGCUAGACAAUGGUUGAACUCAAAUAAUUAUGUUUUUAAUUAAUGUUUAAAUAGUUUUAAAUUUUUUUAAACUUAGAUUUAAAAGAAUAGAUCACAUUGAUUAAUAGUUGUAAACACAAGGACUUAAUUAGCUAAAUUAGAAACACAUGGACUAAAUUGACCAACGUAAUAAAACACAGGGUCCAUUUUAGCAUUUAAGCCUUUAUUUUUUGACUAAGUCUUCAUUAGUGCUUUUAUGAAUGUUUUAAGAUGAACUCAAAAGACUUGGAAAGUGUAGCACUGAGUUUGUAGAAUUUUUUGUUCUGUAGUUUUUGGCUAUUUAAUGAAUUAUUAUGAUUUUUAGAAGAGUGCACCAUGAGUGCUUCUGACAAGCGACAUUUCGUGUAGCGCCACGUGUCAACAAGGUUUUAUUUUGUGUUUGUUUAUCUUUAAAAAUUCACAAACAAUUAAUUUUUAAAAAAAAUCCUUAAUAUCUACAAAUUUUAUGUGACAUUAUCUUCGACUAUGAUGUGCAAAAAUCAAAAUUUGACUUUAGAAAAUUUGAAUUAAUAAUUCCAGGAAGAGUUGUAGUGAGGGAGUUUGAGUUUGAUAAAGUAUUUGAAACUUUUUUUAUCUCAAAAUAUAUUUUAAUGCUUAAAAGAUGAAGAAAAAAUCAAAAGGAGUUCGUAGGAUUUUUCGGUACAUAUUUAUGAUUUUUGGAAAUUAAAGCAUCGAAAAAUAGUAAUAAAUGGAAGAGAAUGACAAGUGGAAGCACCUAAAUGUUGCAUCAUCAAUGCUUCAGACAGGUAUCAUUCUCACGUAACACCACAAGUCAUCAGCGAUAGCACUUCUCAUUCUCUUCCAUUUAUUACUAUUUUCCAAUGCUUUAACUUCAAAAAAGUCAUAAUAAAUCAGAAAAAUACACCAACAAAUCCUAUGAAAUCAUUGCAACAUUUUUUUUUUCAUCUUUUAUGUUUUAAAAUAUAACUUUGACUUAUAUAAAAUUCAAAUAAUUUCACAAAGUCAAGUUGCUUCCAUACUAACAAUAACACUAAGUUGAAGAUCACUAGUCUUCAUCACUACAACUCUUCCUCCAAUUAUUCUUUCCAAUUUCUCAAAGUCAAAUUUUGAUUUUCUAGUAUCCUAGUCGAAGAUAAUGUCACAAGGAAUUUGUAGGAAUUUUCAGUGUAUUUUUCUAAUUUUUAAAUAAUUUUCUGUGAAUUUUUUAAGAUAAACUCACAAAAAUGAAACAUGAAUUACACGUGGACCUAUGAGAUAUUGACACCCGUUGGAAAAUCUGACGACGAACCCAUCAGCUGCUGCCAUGUGUCAUUAUGUUUCAUUUAUUACUAUUUUCCUAUAUUUUGACUUCCAAAAAUCAUAAUAAAUUCAUAAUAAAUUUGAAAAAUUCACCAAAAAAUGCCUCGGACUCCUUGUGAUAUUUCCAACAUCUUUUGAGACUUAAAAUACAAUUUUAACUUAGAGAAGAAUUCAAAUAAUUUCAUAAAGUCGAGUUUGCUUCCACACUAACAAUAAUACUAAAUUGAAGGAUCACUAGUCUUCAUCAAUACAACUCUCCUUCCAAUUAUUCCUUCAAAUUUCUCAAAGUCAAAUUUUGAUUUUCGAGUAUCAUAGUUGAAGAUAAUGUCGCAAGGAAUUUGUAGAAAUUUUCGGUGUAUUUUUCUGAUUUUUUAAAUGAUUUUUUAUGAAUUGUUUAAGAUCAACUCACAAAAAUAAAACAUGAAUGACACGUGGACCUAUGAGAUACUAACACCCAUUGAAAAAGCUGACAAUGCACCCAUCAGCAGCUGCCAUGUGUCAUUAUCUUACAUUUAUUACUAUUUUCCUAUAUUUUGACUUCCAAAAAUCAUAACUAAUUCAUAAUAAAUCUGAAAAAUUCACCAAAAAAUACCCUAGACUCCUUGCGACAUUUCCAACAUCUUUUAGGACUUAAAAUAUAAUUUUGAAUUAGAUAAAAUUCAAAUAAUUUAACAAAGUCAAGUUGCUUCCAUACUAACAAUAACACUAAGUUGAAGAUCACUAGUCCUCAUCACUACAACUCUUCCUCCAAUUAUUACUUCAAAAUUUUCAAUGUCAAAUUUUGAUUUUCGAGUAUCAUGGUCGAAGAUAAUGUCGCAAGGAAUAUGUAGAAAUUUUCAGUGUAUUUUUCCUAUUUUUUAAUGAUUUUUCGUGAAUUUUUUACAAUAAACUUACAAAAAUGAAACAUUAAUGACACGUGACGCUAGGAGAUACUGAAACCUGUUGGAAAAGUUGAAGACACACCCAUCAGGCGCUGCCAUGUGUCAUUUUCUUCCAUUUAUUACUAUUUUCCAAUAUUUUGACUUCCAAAAAUAUAAUAAAUUCAUAAUAAAUCUGAAAAAUUCACCAAACAAAUACCACGGACUCCUUGCGACAUUUCCAACAUUUUUUUAGACUUAAAAUAAAAUUUUGACUAAGACAAAAAUUCAAAUAAUUUCACAAAGUCAAGUUUGCUUCCAUACUAACAAUAAUACUAAGUUGUAAAUCACUAGUCUUCAUCACUAUAACUCUUCCUCCAAUUAUUACUUCAAAUUUUUCAAUGUCAAAUUUUGAUGUUUGAGUAUCGUAGUCGAAGAUAAUGUCGCAAGGAAUAUAUAGAAAUUUUCGGUGUAUUUUUCUGAUUUUUUUUAAUGAUUUUUCAUGAAUUUUUUAAGAUAAACUCACAAAAAUUAAACAUUAAUGAUACAUGGCGCUAUAAGAUAUUGACACCCGUUGGAAAAGCUGAUGAAGCACCCAUCAAGAGCUGCCAUGUGUCAUUUUCUCCCAUUUAUUACUAUUUUCUAAUAUUUUGACUUCCAAAAAUCAUAAUAAAUUCAUAAUAAAUCUGAAAAAUUCACCAAAAAAAUACCCCAGACUCCUUGCCCAGACUCCUUGCGACAUUUUCAACAUCUUUUGAAACUUAAAAUAUAAUUUUGACUAAGAGAAAAAUUCAAAUAAUUUCACAAAGUGAACUUUGCUUCCAUACUAACAAUAACCCUAAGUUGAAGAUCACUAGUCUUUAUCACUACAACUCUUCCUCUAAUUAUUACUUGGAAUUUUUCAUACUCAAAUUUUGGUUUUCGAGUAUGAUAGUCGAAGAUAAUGUCGCAAGGAAUAUGUGGAAAUUUUCGGUGUAUUUUUUUGAUUUUUUAAUAAUUUUUCAUGAUUUUUUUAAGAUAAACUCACCAAAAUGAAACAUUAAUGACACGUGGCGAUAUGAGAUACUAACGCCCAAUGAAAAAGCUGACGAAGCACCCAUCAGGUGCUGGCAUGUGUCAUUCUCUUCCAUUUAUUACUAUUUUUCAAUAUUUUGACUUCCAAAAAUCAUAAUAAAUCUGAAAAUUUUAUCAAAAAAUACCACGGACUCCUUGUGACAUUUCUAACAUUUUUUGAGACUUAAAAUAUAAUUUUGACUAAGAGAAAAAUUCAAAUAAUUUCACAAAGUCAAGUUUGCUUCCAUACUAACAAUAACACUAAGUUGAAGAUCACUGGUCUUCAUCACUACAACUCUUUCUCCAAUUAUUACUUCAAAUUUUUCAAUGUCAAAUUUUGAUUUUCUAGUAUCAUAGUCAAAGAUAAUGUAGCAAGGAAUAUGUAGAAAUUUUUGGUGUAUUUUUUUGAUUUUUUAAAAUGAUUUUUCGUGAAUUUUUUAAGAUAAACUCACAAAAAUAAAACAUUAAUGACACGUGGCGCUAUGAGAUAUUGACACCCGUUGGAAAAGCUAAUGACGCACCCAUCAUGCACUGCCGUGUGUCAUUUUCUUCCAUUUAUUACUGUUUUCCAAUAUUUUGACUUUCAAAAAUCAUAAUAAAUCUGAAAAAUUCACCAAAAAAAUACCCCAGACUCCUUGCGAGAUUUCCAACAUCUUUUGUGACUUAAAAUAUAAUUUUGACUUAGAAAAAAAUUCAAAUAAUUUCUCAAACUCAAGUUUGUUCCUAUAGUACCUAUAACACUAAGUUGAAGAUCAUCACUCUUCCUCACUAUAACUCUUCCUUCAAUUAUUACUCCAAAUUUUCAAAAGUCAAAUUUCAAUUUUCACGCAUCAUAGUUGAAGAUAAUUUCUCAAGGAGUUUUUUAAAAAUUUCAGUGCAUUUUUCAGAUUUUUAUUAAUUUUGUGUAAUUUUUUUAAGUCAAGCACACAAAAAUGAAACUUUGAUGGCACAUGGCACUAUGAGAUACUAACACCUGUCGAAAACUCAUCAUGUGCUACCAUGUGUGAUGCUCUUCCAUUUAUUACUAUUUUUCAAUGCUUUAACUUCCAAAAAUCAUUAAAAAAAAUCUGAAAAAUUCAUAAUAAAAAUCCUAGGAACUCCUUACAAUAUUUUCUUCAUCUUUUAAGUUUUAAAAUAUAAAUUUGACAUAUAAAAAGUUCAAAUAAUUUCUCAAGACAUUAUCACUCGUCAUUUUCCCCCAUUCAUUGCAUUUAAUACGAAUUUUUGAAGUUAAAGCAUAGAAAAUAUAUAAAUAAACUGAACAUAAUGACACAUGGGAACAGAAAAAUGAUGCGACUUCAGUUCUUUAAACGGGUGUCCUCUUAUAGCGCCAUGUGUAAAAAAUGUUUCUUUUUAAUAUUGUUUAGCAAUAAAUGGGAGGAAAUGACAAGUGCGAGUGCCUUGAGGCUGCAUCCUCAAUGCUUCUCACGAGUGUCACUCUCAAUGGCACCAUGCGUCAUUAAAGUUUCAUUUUUGUAUGUUUAUCUUAAAAUUUUUACAAAAAAUUUAUAAAAAAUCAGAAAAAUAAAUGUGUCAGAGCAGUGUUUAUAACACGUGUCAUUGUUGAAUUACACCACGUAUUUCUAGAAUUACUCUAAGUGUAGAAUAAUAUUUCACCAAAUAUAUGGGUUAAAAUAAGUUCCAUUAACAUUUAUACAGUCAAUAGGUGUACAAGAAAGUUAAACUGAGGUUUCACACAUAUUUCACGUAAUAUGCACUAAUGUUUCACUUAGUGUUCAUCCGAACCUAACUUGUGCAAUUAUCGCCAAUUAGAAGAGUCAUAAAGCCUUUAAUUACUCUACACUUCUUCACUGAUCCUUCUGCAACCAAAGAUUUGAAAAAUAACAGAAAUUGUCAACAACAAAAAAAAUUUAUCUAGCGAGAGUCGAACUGCAAAAUCAAAUGGUAACCGUACAACUGAGUUCUUACCUAGCGAGAGUCUAAGUGCACAAUCAAAUAUCCACAGAGAAAAUUGUUGAAGGGGCACAAGACCCAGAUGGGAAAUAUCGAUAAAAUCAAUUAAGUAAAAAAAGAGUUGAGAAACUUGCAAAACUUACUGAGCGGAAGAACAUGGGAAUAUAUAGGAGCAACCAAGAACUUAAAUUGGGAGCCCGUGCUUCUCUUUCUAAUAGCAGCCUCCCUUUCAACAUAUUCAUGUACACAAUUUGAUAUCAAUUACUAAUACAGAGAAUAAAUUUCUAUGAAUUGAAAGGCAAAAUCUAUGUUGUGGGUUUCGCGGAACUUACUGAUUAGAGGGAUUAGACGAUGGGGGCCAGGAGGCCAUGGCGGAAAAAUUUCUGAAGAUGAGAGGAGUGAUGCUUUGUAUAGAAAUGGAAGCAAGGAAAUGGGUAAAUUAAGGGCAUGAUCUGACCUGGUUCCCUAAAGCACCUCACCACCCUGAUUCCCACAUGAAACUACCACGCACCAGACACAAAAAACCAUUGACUCUUAGAAGUUGAUUUACUCCUCCUAAUCAACUGCCCCUCAGCACUUUGGAGAUAGUAAAACCCAGUUUGUUUAGGAUUCCUCUUCAAGAGAAAGGAGCACAUCAUAUGGUGAAUGCUCGGUUCAAAUGAAUUCACUUCAUUCCAUAUCACGUACAUGCUCUGCAACGUCCGAUAAAUGUUCUGAUUCAUCUGGAUGAGGUGCAAUACCCAGCAAUGUCCAAUAAUUCACAUCGUAGUGGCAAGCUUCCAUUCCCACUCUUCAAAAUCUCUCUCUCUCUAUAAGAGCAUUUCCACCAGUUAGCCCCUUGUCAUGACAAGAGGAGCCCUAGGGCAGUUACUAUUCACGUGAAUAGUGGCUGCCCUAGCCCCCUCAGCAAAGUGUGUUUCCAGCAGUUUAGACUUGUCAUGGCAAAUACUAUUCUUUUUUUUUUUCACAACUUUUUUUUACUUAAACAAUUAAUUUGGAUAAUAUUUUCAGAUAAGAUUUUUGGGUUUCUACGUGUCAAUACUAUUCAUAUUAGAUAAUAUUUUCGGAUAAGAUUUUAUUUUAUUAGUUGUAUUGGUUGGUAUUUAUAGGAAAAAAAAAGUAUGAGGAUUUGGUGUUAAAAGUGAAGAGUAUUGGUUAGUAUUUAUAGGCACUGGCGAACCCAAAAUUUUUGUAGCAGAGGUGCAAUAUUGACUAAGUAUGAAAAAUAAUUUUUUGGAAUAAUCAUUUUCUCAAGAUAAUUUUUUGGCAGCUUUUAUUCCUUACACAUCAAUAAAUAAGAAAACUUGAUUUUAUGAAAUUUUAAUAUGAAGUAUACAUUGACUUAAUGAGCCAUCAUUUUUAGCCUAAAUCGUAUUUUGCACUAAAACCGAUUUUUCAUAUUUUGAUUUGAUGAGAAUUUGAUUUUCUAGUAUUUUUAUUUGAAUCCAAAUAGAGGGUACUUCCUUAUUUACAUUGUAAACUUAAGUAAAUGGAGUAAUAUAAAAAUAAAUGAAAAUAAAAGGACAAAGACAUUUACUUAAAUGUUGAAAAUGGAAAUAAGGUAUAGAGAAAAAAAAAAUCAGUAAUUUUUUUGGUAUUUUUUUAAAAAAAUAUCAUUGUAUAAACAUUGGCUAUUGUUGGAUUGCUGGAAAAAAUAUGAUCGGAGAGCCUAGCGCUCGCCACGUGGACGAUUUAAAAAAAUUUGGACGCAGGGCUGACGUCGACGUGAUGUCAGGACGCUGACAUCAGCCUUGCCCUCGGGCCAGCCCAGUCUGCUGGGUCCCACUAUUUGCCUGGGCUUGCUUUUGUUGCUGGAAACCACUUUUUUGUCCAAACCCCCUAGCUCGAGUCCAUCCUUAGCUGCUGGAAAUGCUCUAAGUAGAUCUCUCUUCUCUUACUCCCACUCUGUCUCUAUUCUUUAAUCAACCUGUCUCUCAUGAAACUUUUGUCGAACACAUAAUGGUGAAGUGGCAGCCUUCUCCGAAUUCCAGCAGCCAAAUUUGUGAUGAGGCUUCCAAAUUUAAUGCCUUUUGUAAUUUUUUAGAUAGUUAACACAUUUAUUCAUUUUUAACCAUAAAAAUCCAAUAUGUUUAGAAAGCUUCCUGAGAAACAAGGAAAAGAAGAAUAAAUUCUUGUUUUUCAUUUCUGGGUAAAGCCAAGAAGCAAGAAAAAGAAGAAUAAAUUCUUGUUUUUCAUUUCUGGGUAAAGCCAAGAAGUUCAAUAUUUGAUAAUUGUUAAUAUAUUUUGUGAGUUGUUGAGAGAUGAGAUUUUGGGGCAAAGUUAAGAAGAAGGAAAAGAAAGAAAAAGACAGGACGUGGAGGGCGUGAGAAAGAAAUAGAAACAAAAAAGGACGUUAACUUUGUCGUUAGUUGGAUUAGGGUUUUUUUUUUCUUUUUCUUUUUUAAGUAAGAGUAAAUUGGGUUUUUGUUUGAAGGAUGAUGUGUCAAUUUUUAAGUUCCUUAUAUUAAAUUUUAAUGAGGUGUCAUCUAUAUAUAUAAAGCAAAAGGCAGAGAAUGGUGAAACAUUCAAAAUACCAGAAAAUGCCCUUGGUUAAUGCACAUUAAGAAUUAAAAUUAUUAAUUAAAUGAGGAUAAUAUGGUAAAUUCAUAAUUUUUCAUAUUAAAAAAAUUAAAAUUAAAAGAAAAUUCAGAUAAUGGAUCCUAUUUUUAUGGAACACAACUAUCCAUUAUCUUUUUUAAUUCGAAAAUAAAUUUAAAUUUUUUUAAAAAAGCCUUUCGCAGGCGCAGAAGCGCGUGCAGAGAGGCUAGUAUGAAUAACAAAGUAAAGUAAAUCAUGACAGAGAAAAUCAGAGCAAAAGAUCCGGAUACUACAGAAAGCUAUAUGUCUGCCGACGCUAUUAAAAGCAUGCUCCUUUCACAGUGUUUUUGACAGGCUAUAAAGAUUCUUUAUAGCGGUGUAUUCUUUAUAGCAUGUUUUCAUUGCCAUUGCAUUUGUUUAAUAUAUGGGAGCUUUAGUAAUACACCCAAAAUAGGAGCUGAAAUUAUAAAAAAAUCCUACAUGAAAUUCAAUUUAGAAACACACCCAAAAACCCAUUUAUUAUAUAUGAAAUGAGUGUUGAAGUUACUAUAAAUUACAUUUUUGCCAUUGAUUAACUUAAAACAAGCCCAACACAAAAAAUACUUAAAAAAAUCCAAAACAAACCCUGCAAGCUCUAAGUACAUUGUUAAUACCAUGACAUAAAAGUACAGUGUUAAUACGAUGUCAUAGAAGUACAUUGUUAAUACCAUUUCAUAGAAGUACAUUGUUAAUACCAUGUCAUAGAAGUACAUGUCAUAAAAUUACAUUGUUAAUACCAUUCCAUAGAAGUACAUUGUUAAUACCAUUCCAUAGAAGUACAUUGUUUAUACUUUGUCAUAGAACUAUCUUGUUAUUACUAUGUCAUAGAACCAUGUUGAGUCCUUUCCAAAGGCAUAAACUUCCCAGCAUCACUGAUCAACAUUGUCCUGCCAGCUCCAACAAUGAAGAAUAUUAUUAAUAACAAGAUACCUCUACAAAAAAAAAAAAAGUACACUAUUAAUACUACGUCAUAGAAGUACAUUGUUAAUACUAUAUCGUAGAACCAUCUUCCUAAUAAAAAUCACAUUCUGCAUAUCAUAAACUUCAAGUGAAUGGUAUGGAGUUGUACACUUUUAUCUUACCUAUUAUGCAAAUGAAAUGAUGUAGUUGUUAACUUCUAAAUAAUCCUCAUGAUACUGAUGGCUUUCCAAUUCGAGCAUAGGGUGCUAACAUGCCAACCAAAGCAAUGUCAACAGCUAUUCCAACUAAAAGAUCAGCAGCGUACAACUCAAACUCAGCCUAGAAAUCCUUUCCCAUUUUCUGAAAAUGUUGCACAACAAGAAUCUAUGACUAUCUACAUUACAAAAGAGUCAAGGAAGAGAAAUUUCUUCAAUAUUCAACAAGAUCAACAACUAUCAAAUGUAACGGUCCAAUUUGAAGGCAAGGUAUAUUUAAUGGAAUUCAUAGGACUAUCACCAAUCCAAACAAUGACCCACAAACUCAAUUACUGAUAUUUACAGUGAAAAAUGCAGAGCUACAAUUCUUUCAAGAGAACUAUUAAUUUACAGUCCCUUGACUUGAAACACAAAUUACUCAAAAACAUUAUUUACCAAAAAGAAAGAUCACGAAAACAAACCUCUGUCCCAACUUUAAAAAGAAAGGAAGGAUAAGCCAGCAUACGAUUUCGUAGCAUAGAGCAAUACUUCAUCAAAAAGCCCAGUGGCCAAAUUGACCCCUGAAAUUCGAAAAUAUAUAUAUAUAUAUAAAUUAGAAACCCAAUAAGUAACUUAGCAAAAACCAUAUAUCUGAAGAUUUUUCAAUAGAAAUGGAGACCAACAUACAAACAAUAAUUGGACAAUACUAGAAAAAACCAUGAAUAUGGAACCAUAACAGGAAACCCAAAGUCGUAUCAAUACCUGAUAUGUCUUUCAGGAACUUGACUCAAUAAAGCAUUAAUAACUAGAGAGUUAUCGAGGUACAAAGGCAAAAGCUUGCAAACAAAUAAAUAGUACCAACAACAACAAAAAAGUAAACAUUUCCUUACUAGAACCAUUGCAUCAAAAGGCAACCCUGCACCAGCGGAAGGAGCAACAAAAGAUGUGCUAAUUCCAAUUUUAUCAUAUGGGGAAUGAAGAGAUACUCCCAAAAAACCAGCAGGAGGUCUAGUACCAGAAGCAUUUGUGGAAUUCUCAUUCACUUCCCCAUUAGUUGUAGGCCUGAGCUGAGUAUGGACUUUCACAUCAUUAUCUGUUGCCCAGAAGAUUAUGAAAACAAAUCAAUCAGGAUGAAGCAUUUGGUUAGGGGUGCAUGUCCCAAUUUAGGACCAUUACAGAAUUCCUUGUCCUUCAUUCAAGUAAGUCGGAAACUAUCCCCUUUUCUUUGCAAAAUUGAUAGAUGAGGGAUGGGCAACAAAAACAAGCCACAAAAUUGUUCCCUCCCACAACGAAACUCAGAAAUCCUGAUUAAAAAUUCUCACACUACAAACGCAAAGUAUCUAAUGAGAAAUAGGUACCAUACCAGCAAAUUGCAUGCUUCCAGACCCAUUGUUCCUUUGAGUGUGGUGGUUGUCUUCCUAAUAGAUGAAAUCCAAGAUUACUUUAACUUCAUGCAUAAAUAUCAUCUAACCAUCACAUACAACAAAGGGCCAAAAUCCAUCACAUAUGAGCAGACAUAAUGAAAGGAAAUUCUUACUUUAGUGUUGCCAUCACUGCCAUCUGUCAAACCAUCAAUAUUUUGUUCCAAACUGCACAUGGUCAUAGAAUCAAAAUUUAGAUUGGCUACAUCCAGAGACAACAUCAUAAAACUUACUGGAAGCCACUGCUUGACAAUUAGUAUGGUCUAGGGCAGAUGACAAAUAGUUUUUCUAUUUUUCUAUUUUGAAAAAGCCCAUCUUUCACAGCAAUGUAGCUGCAAAGUAAGUCUACCCUGCUACACAUGUUUAGAUGCACACAAAAGUAUAGAUAUAUGACCUAUGAGAAACAGGUACACACACAUGCUGUAAAACGCAGGCAACAUAUAUCAGGGAUAACUCCCUUAAUAUAGUUGUCAUAAUUUAAAGUGAAGUCAAACUUCCCGGGAAAGAGACCUAUCUAACUAAAAUUAGAUCUAAAUAACAUCAAUGAGACCUCACAAUCAAGCUAGAUAAAAAAAAUCUUCAAAAAUUAUUGAAUUAACAAUCCUUUAAAAGACGUGUACGAUAUCCAUCUAAUCCUUGCUAGUGACAAAGCUCUGAACCCAGAGUAGGCAAAGGGUUCACAAAAACAAGAGAUACCCAGUGAGUCAACUCGAAACACAGCUUCAAUUAUGAAUUACCAAGGUCCUGAGCAAAUCUAAACCAAUCCAAUCUUCCAUUAAAUUGGUGAGAUGAUGGAAUAAGACCAAACCGAUGAAUAAUUUAACACUCAAUUCAAUAACUGGGGAGCUAAAGAACAAAAUCACAAAACAGAGGCCAAAUUUCAGACCAUCAAUUAAACUUUCACUCAAUUUUCUCUUCAUCCAAACAGAUGGUGGUAUCUAAUUUGUUCAAAUCCGCACUUCACCAAAUAGAUCCGCACAAAAAAUCAACAUAGUUACAACAGUUCAUCACAAAUCCAUACGUACAAUCGUGUGAUCUAUAUAUCAGUUCCGACACAGAAACAUCAAAUUCUAACAGUAUUAACCACUUCCAUAAAAAUCAGAUCCAAAAACCCAUUAAUCUAGAAACAUAAAUCGAAACCAAAUAUCAACAAUUAAAUGCAAAUAUAGAUAUACGAAAUUAAAGAUUAUGAGUCGGAGAGAGAGAGAGAGAGAGAGAGAGAGAGAGAGAGAGAGAGAGAGAGAGAGAGAGAGAGAGAGAGAGAGAGAGAGAGAGAGAGAGAGAGAGAGAGAGAGAGAGAGAGAGAGAGAGAGAGAGCAAACCAGAUUAGAAUGAGAGCUAGAGGAAAGGGCCUCGAGCUUUGUAAGUCAUCCGUGGAAAGCAGAAACCGGAAGAAAUUGGAAGCAUUUGGAUCCAGAGAAACAGAGUUGUGUAAGAAACGAAAGUGAAAAUUUCAUAACGGAGAGAAAUAACCGAAAGGUCAAAACCGUAAUCUAACAUAGUAAAUAAAUCCAAAAAUUGACAGCUGUCGAUUUUUGGGUUUAUUUUGAGUGUGUUUCUAUGUAUUAAAUAGUGUAAGGUAUAUUUAUAGUUUCAUGUCUAGGAAUGGGUUUUUCACUAAUUUUUUAUUAAUAUAUCUCUUCCAUCUUUUAAUUUGGCUGAAAGAAACAACACUAUAUAUAAGCACCACAAGAAUGGAAACGCACAUCUUCUACUAAAUAAGUUGCUGCCAAUAUUUUUCCAUUAUGAGAUAAACUAAGUAGAUCAUAGUGCACAGGAGCACUAUCCAAAUCAAGUGUAAUUGGAAACACAUAACUGCUAACACAUAAUACGUAACUGUAUUUUCCUUUUCAUUUUAGGAUAACACUGAUUACCUUCUAAUGUGGAUAAAAUAAUCUUCUAUGCUCUUGCUCUUCAUCUUCUUCGAGUCUUGUAUUUCCUCAACUACAGCAUUAUGUAUUAGUUAAAAGGGUUAGUUACAUUUUUGGUAAUUGAGAUUUGGCUCAAAAUCAAAUUUGGUAACUGUAAUUUCAAUUUUUCUGAUUUGGUCAUUGUACUUGCAGCUGUUAACAAAUCAAGUCUAAUGUCUCAAUUAUGUCAAUUUCAUUAAUUAAAAAAUAUUUAAUAUUAAGUUAAAAAUAAUUAACUUCAAUAUAAAAUUUAAGUAUAAUAUAUUUGAAAAGAAAAUUAAUAAGAUUAAAACUUAAAUUUAAAAAAAUUACCAAUAUAUAUAUAUAUAAAAUAUUUAACGGUGAGUGAUCACAAUAUCUUGGACUCCUGUGGUCAAAGAAAUUGGGACUAUAUAUAUAUAUAUAUGCCCCCUCAUCACUAUUGAAAUGAAAUGAAUAAUUGGUGGACCAAAAUUAUACUGGAGCAAAAGUUAGGAAACCAUUUCUAUCAAAAAUUCUAUUUUAUUUGAGUAUGUAAAAAAAACAUGUAAGAAGAUACAACAAUUGAUCUAAAGCUAUUGAACUGUACUAUUGCAAGUUAAAAUGCAAUUCAAUUCAAUAGAUGUAAAAAUAGUUUAGCAACCUUUUUUAAAAUUUUUUUGGGUAAAAACCAUGAGGUGUUCCCACACCCGAAGGGUAGAAUUAAUCCCUACUCGAGGUUCGGCUUGCCCCUAACUGCAAAAUACUUCCAACAAAUUUCGAACCAUUACCAUUUAAGUACUAAGUAGCUCGCUAGCUAAAAAUAGCAGUUUACCAACCGCAUCACGCUUGUGAUUGUCCAACAACCAUUCUGAAUGCUCUGAAAGACAUGAAAUAAUACAAAAGGGCUAUCUUUAUUAGACAAUGAAAAGCACGUGGUAGAGCAGUUUCAAUAAAUGAGGGUGCGUUCCAUCAACAAUGAUGCGCUGAACCUCCAUACUUGAAGCUUAGUGAGAAAAUAUAUUAGAAACUACAAAGGUUUGGAGUGUUAGGCAGGGCCUUGCAAAUGUCAGUCAACGUGAGAGUGAGGGAGUCAGUGGUGGUGAAGCCAGAGGAGGAAACGCCAAAACGGGCGCUGUGGAUAUCGGACUUGGAUAUCGUGAUUUCGGCAACUCACCUUGGAAGUGUUUACUUCUACAGGAGGCCAAACGUUCAAAACAACUGUGUCUUGGAUUCGGAGGUGCUCAAGUGCUCCCUUGCCAAGGCCCUCGUGCCCUUCUACCCGGUGGCCGGCCGCCUGAAGCUGAACGAUGAGGGACGUAUCGAGAUGGAUUGCAAUGCAGAGGGAGUGCUGUUUGUUGUGGCGGAGACUGCCUCGGUCCUCGAUGAUUUCGGGGACUUUGCGCCGACUCUUGAGUUCCGGAAGCUCGUUCCUGCUGUUGAUUAUUCCGCUGGGAUGUCCUCUUAUCCCCUCUUGGUGGUACAGGUAUUCAGAGAAAGAGAGGAGACAUUUUUUUCACUCCUUUCUUUUAUUUCUCUUGCUCAUAAUAUCAUUCGGGACAAUUCUUGAACCUGAUAUGACUUAAACUUACAAAGUAUGGUUCUGGUUUUACUCUGUUUAUGCAUCAGGUCACAUACUUCAAAUGUGGUGGAGUGUCACUUGGUGUUGGCCUGGAACAUCGUGUAGCAGAUGGCUUUUCUGGUCUCCACUUUGUAAAUACAUGGUCUGAUAUCGCUCGAGGUCUUGACCUUACAAUUCCACCAUUCAUCGACAGGACAUUACUUCGUGCCCGAGACCCACCACAGCCUGCAUUCGAUCACACUGAAUACCAACCUGAUCCACCCAUUAAAACCGGUACAAAAGCUGUAGGUGAUGAGAGCGCAACGGUAUCCAUUUUUAGAUUGACACGGGAGCAGCUCAACAUCUUGAAAGCCAAGUCUAAGGAAGAUGGGAACACAAUCAACUAUACCACAUAUGAGAUGUUGGCAGGUCAUAUUUGGAAAUGCGCAUCCGUGGCACGUGAACUUCCUGAUGAUCAAGAGACCAAACUACAUAUUGCAGUUGAUGGAAGGUCCAGACUGCAACCCCCCCUCCCUCCUGGUUUCUUUGGCAACGUGGUUUUUUCAAGCGCACCAAUUGCUGCAACAGGGGAUCUCAAAUCAGAACCAACAUGGUAUGCUGCAAGCCGUAUUCAUGAUGCUGUUGUGCGUAUGGACAACGAUUAUCUUAGAUCAGCGCUGGACUAUCUUGAACUUCAGCCUGACCUGUUACCCCAUGUUCGCGGAGCUCAUACUUUUAGGUGCCCGAGACUUGCAAUAACUAAUUGGUCUAGGCUGCCGAUCUAUGAUGCUGAUUUCGGUUGGGGUCGACCUACUUUCAUGGGGCCUGGUGGAAUUGGAUAUGAGGGGUUGGCUUUUGUGUUACCAAGUGCAACAAAUGAUGGAAGUUUAUCAGUGGUCAUUUCUCUGCAAUCUCAACGUAUGAAAUCAUUCUCCAAGUUGUUGUAUGAGAUAUAAGGAAAUGAAAUGCGUCGAAUGGGAACAAUACGUUGAACAUACUUCGGGCUUCUAUCUCGUGUCCUCUGAGUUCUGGGACUUCG